UAGUUCUAAAUACAAACAACACAUGAAUAUUCAUCAUCCGCUUCCUAAUGUGAAACAAGUUUAUCCUUCCAACACAGGGAUCAAUGAGCUCAUUGACCAUAGUUCAUCCUUCUAACGAGCUGGUUGAUGUAGUUCUCGUGGUUUUCAAUGUCACCACCCUAGAUGUAGUGGUUCCACUUCUCCAGGCCACUGAGCGGUCCCUUCAUCUUGAAUGACCACCUGAAGUUGUUUACCUCCUUGAAGUAUGGGCCAACAAUCAAGAUCUCAUGCACAAUAUCCUCGAUGCAGAUGAUGUUAUGCUUCCCCAAACCCUACGGAGAACACAGAAAUGAUGAUCAACUUGAUAUGGCUCGAGGGUCAUUUUGUCGUCAUCGUGUCACAUGCAGGGUGCUCGCCAUCGCCCGCCAAAGCUGUUGGACGGUAGUUAAUUCAUCGCUAUUGGACCAAGUGGGCACAUUAAUGUCUGUGUUUCUAGAGUUUACAUUUUUCUUCUGAAAUUAGAGUUAAUUUUUGACUCGUGAGCAAGAGCAAUGCCACAAAUCUUGAAAUUAAUUAUGCAGUCGUUACUUCAUGAUACAUAAAUUUAAUUAUGUAAGCCUAGCUGAGUGGGCAUGUGCAUAAGAUCUAUGAUCGAAUUUUACUAUAUAUAUAUAUAUAUUAUAAGUUGGAAUAAUAAGUGGCACACAAAUAGCAUGUGCGUGAAUACUCUGAGAAUCACAACAUUUUGUUGUUUUGGUGUUUCUUUGAAGUUGCAUAUCCAUGAAGUUCUCCUCUUCUAAGCGGCUAAGCUGAUGUGGAGUAGCUGGGUCUGGGAGAUUUUAUAAUUAAUUCCAUCUCCAAUGAAGAAAUAAAUUGGUUGUCCCCUACUUAUCUCAUGUGCUUUGUUAAAUAGAUUUCAUGUGCAUAGUCAUGCAUACAUAAAGUUGUGCAUUCAUGUGUGUUGGUGAAAUUUCUGUGUGGCCAUUCCAUGGGGAACUUAAUAUUUGGUAUCAUCAAGGUUUUAAGUUUUGAAUACAUGCUUGCAACAAGGAGGCGACCCCUAGGAUCUCGAAUGGGUCGGUCACCCUUCGGUAGAUUACGGAGAAAAAGAUGGCAAGGACGAUAUCAUCGGCGGGGCGCAAGCAUCAUCAUUGAGAAGUUAGAUAAAUCGAUGAGUCAUGUGCAUGCAUACUAGCUAAUCUAGUCAACAUCAUGCCAAGUGUUCAUAUCCAAGUGUGUGUCAAUCUGUGGUUUCGUUGCAGUUGAAAUGUGUCACGGUCGAACCAAUGUACACUGAGGUGUAUUACUCUGGGCUAAAAUACGUGUCUCGACAAGAGAUCAAGUUGGAGCAUGUAAUUGAAUGGUAAUUGAUAAAGGUGAGUAUGUCGAAUAAGGCCUUAUCUCUACGUGAACCCAUGUGGUCAUCAGCCGGUAUGUAACGAGGGAGCUAGUCUAAAAGCAUUGAGUUGCAUCGACAAGUCGUGAAUCUUAAACAAGUCAGGAUUCGAGGGUGUACAAGAGAUGACAGGUAGCAAAGAUUGCUGGAAAUAAUCUUCCCCUGAUAAAGCCCAUUUUGAAGUUGUUUUUUGCUAGCUUGGCAUGCCUGAGUCAAAGACUGAACUGGUUUUCCUACUACUAGUAGUACUGUAAAUAUAUGGUGUUUGGCUUGGUGCAUUAUGAAGUUAGUUGCGGUAGGUCUAGAUUUAAUACCUUUGACUAGUCUGUUCUUGUACUAUUGAGAAUUGCAGUAGGUCUAGGUUUAAGUCCUUUGACUGGUCAUGUUGAUGUCCUUAUUGAGUCUGGUUCAUAGGUCUAUGUGUGUGUAUAAACACACUAGGGGCUGAAGUUUUUUAACAAUGGUGAAAUUGUACCAGGGAUGCCAACUGGGGAGAAACAAGGAAACAGAUGGCGUGAUAUGUAUCCUUAGCCGGUGGGAGAAAUCCAAUAAGGAAUCCAGCUUGUUAGGAACCUUUUGGAUUUGGCGGCAUCAUGAAUGAAGCUUAAACUGCCGACCUCUUUCCCACUGCCUGGGUGCCAAUCCCCUUUCGCAGUGGAUCGAUGGGCCAGACAGGUGGGCUACAAAUUGGUUGCGGUGCAUAGAGCCCUGGCGAUGCACCGACUCCUCAGCUCUACAUGAACGCCAAGGGCAGUGCAAGAGUAGCAACAACUGUAUACACAGCGAACGUAGUGCAACUGACUAUUGUAAACUGAGCAAAUUAGCACAGUUCGGGGAUGAAGCUAGAAAAAAUGGGCACUGGUGUCGUGUCAACCGCUGCCCACUCUAGCAAAAAUUAUGGCGGUGCAGCAUCAUAGAUAGGGCAACGUAAUUCCUCUGAAUAUGGAGACACCCAUUUGCAAUUUUUUGGAGCAUUCUGAAGGACUACCUUCCUUACAUCCUCAUUUUGAUUUGCUAAAGUUUGUACCAACUCUCAAAAAUUCCCCUUAUUUCUUGAAUCCUCCUAUUCAUCAUUGCUGCGGAAAGCUAAACCUUGAUGUAGCAAGUAUCUAACCAAUUCAACAAAAGUAUUCAACUGAAUACGAUUUUGUCUCUUUUUGAUAUUGGUUUGCUUGUAGAGGGCAACCUUAAUGGACUGAUUUUAAUUCAUUAAAGCAUCACAUCUUUUAACGACUAUAUUGUGAAAGCUAUUAACCUCACCCUCAUGUGUAUCUAGUCUCUUUCUCUUAUUCUAGCAAGAGAAUCCUUUAACAACAAAUGCAUCAUUACUACCUUGGCCAUCUAUGCAAUCUCUGAAUAGAUAGCAACACAAGCAAAAUGCCUUAUGCACCUUAUCACUAUACUCUAGCCAAUGAUAGUCUUUAAACCAUUUUGGAUUAAAUCUCCAUUCGGCUCCUGUGAUCGUUUUCUGAGGAUAUUUAAAGUCUUAUUUUGGUCUGUAAGAUCCUCCAUUUAAAUAUAUUCUUCUAAUCUCAUAUUGCUUCUUAGGAUUCUUUGUGUACUACCCUAUUCUUUUUUGAUCAGCGGGAUCAUGAGGAAGUUCAUCUAAGUUAAUUUUUUCCGAAGGCAGAUGAGUUAACCGAUCUUGUCUUGGUCUAACUGGCCUUGAAGUCCAUGCCACAUUACUAUCUAGUGUGAUGUUGUUUGUUUCCCUUUCAACAAAAAAUUAUUCAUAUCCUCCUGGUCCUAGGCGAAUCAAAGAGAAAAUGAAAAAAGAUUACUUACCCAAUACCCAUCACAAAAUCAAAUCACAUGUAGAGUUGUAGACAGUAGAGACCGAGAGAUCAAAGAAGGCAGGGUGUGGCAGAUUACUUGGGAUGGGAAGAGCCAACAUUUGGCAAUUAAACAUUAUGCAGUGGCGGACGAUCGGCCGAUCUCACCAUUCCUCGGAUGAAACGGCGUCGAGUUCGCCGCCAUUCGUCGCCGUCUCGCCGAUUCGCUGCGAGAUUAGGGAUCCAAAUAGAUGAGGGCUUCCAUCUGUUCGCAUACAGGUAAAGGCGUAUAGCAGCAUACAUCGAUUAAUCGAUGGAUCCAUAGGAACGUGCGUAUGCACAGGACCAAUGGGCCGUGUGUCAUUGUUUGUUGUCACUGACUGUUGAUGUUUUUUUAAUAACUUUAUGGAUGUUAUGGGUUGAGGCUUUAGGGAGUAACUGUUGGGCUGAGGUCAAUGAAAAUUUUGCGCUGGGUGAGAUGCACUUUUCGUUUGCAUAUUCAUCAUCCACUUCCUAAUGUGAAACAAGUUUAUCCUUCCAACACAGGGAUCAAGGAGCUCAUUCAACAUAGUUCAUCCUUCUAACAAGUUGGUGAUGUAGUUCUCACGGUUUUCAGUGUCAUCACCCUCGAUGUAGUGGUUCCUCUUCUUCAGGCAAGCGAGCGGUGCCUUCAGCUUGAAUGACCACAGGAAGUUGUUUGCCUCCUUGAAGUGUGGGCCAACAGUCAAAAUCUUGCGCACAAGUUCCUAGAUGUAGAAGAUGUUGUGCUUCCCCAAACCAUGCGGAGAACACAGAAAUCUUGAUCAACUUGAUAUGGCUCUCGCUGAGGGUCAUUUUGUCUUCAUCGUGUCAUAGGCAUGGUGCUCGCGACCACUUACCAAAGCUGUUGGACUGUAGUUAAUUCAUCGGUAUUACACAGCAUGGGCCCAUCGAAGUCUGUGCUUCUAGAGUUUACAUUUUUCUUGUGACACCAGAGUUAAGUUUUGACUCAUGACCAAGAGCAACACCGCAAAUCUUGACAUUAAUUAUGUAGUUGCUGCUUCAUGAUACAUGAAUUUAAUUUUGCCAAUCUAGCUGAGUGGACAUGUCCAUAAGGUCGAGAUGAUCGAACUUUAUCUACAUAUAACUUGGAAUAAUAAGUGGCGCACAAAUAGCAUGUGCAUGAAUACUCUGAGAAUCAUAUUGUUUGCUUUUUCGGUGUUUCUUUGAGCUUGCAUACCCAUGAAGUUCUCCUCUUCUAAGCGAGUAAGUUGAUGUGGAGUAGCUGGGGCCAGAAGAUUUUAUAAGUAAUUACAUGUCCAAUGAUGAAAUAAAUUGGUAGUCCCCUGCUUAUCACAUGUGCCUGGUUGAAUAUAUUUCAUGUGCAUAAGCAUGCAUACAUAAGGUUGUGCAUUCAUGUGUGUUGGUGAAAUUUUAUUGUUACCGUUCCAGCACCACAUCAAGGUUUCAAAUUUUGAAUCCAUGCUUGCAGCAGAGAGUCGGCCCCUAGCAUCUCGAGGCGAUCGGUCGAUGUUGGGGAUAUUACCACUGGGCGUAAACCGGCUAGGAGAUGUCGGAUUAUCCCCAUGAUGGUUGCUUUAUUCAAAAGCCCAUGAAGACGUGAGGAUGGUGGCGCUUUAUGAAGGCCCAAGGCCCAAAGGCGGGUUAAGGCCUGUAGAUGUAAACCGACUUUCUCAUGUAACUUGCAUUGUAAGAUAGGAAGGAUAAAGACCGAGUUGGAUACGUUGACGAUCCGGCCUCGGGACUCUGUAAACCAACGGGCGUCGACCUAUGUAUAUAAAGGGACGACCCGGUGGCGGUUUAGGAACAACUCACAACAACAACUCGAGAGCCAGGUAAAGCGGAUUCGCUCCCUGGUCAUCGAAACCCCAGCAAUUUGAUCACAACUAGACGUAGGCUUUUACCUUCAUCAUAAGGGGCCGAACUAGUAUAAAACUCUCGUGUCCCUUGUCCGGUUUAACCCCUUUAAGCUAACCCAUAGCGAUGGCUCCACGACUAAGUCCUUUCAUGAGGACAUCUGUCAUGACAAAACCACGACAGUUGGCGCCCACCGUGGGGCUAUCGCACGAUGGUUUCGAGUUCUUGAAGGGUAGCUUCGAAGGGCUCAAGGGAUACACGGUGGGCCGGAUGACUAAAAGUCAUCGCGGCAAGCUCUAGAUCGACGAUGCAGGAUGGGGUCCCGAGGCCAGUUCAAUUGAAUACGGGUACCGGGUCCUCUUUAGUGGUAUUCACGUCUUCAUCGGCAAGAUUGGCGAACUGGGCCCUGAGCCGGACACCUGCACCGACAUCAUCGAGACGGCUCAGCGUGCAAGCCCUACCCAGGUUCAUCCCGCAGCAAGGCACGUUUUCGUAGGUGUCAUCCAUGGAGCGGAAUAUGAGGAUGGACCGGCAUCUGAUGGAGAAACCGUUGUCUGUUCUGAUGACGAGUCUUCAACCAGAGAGACCGAGUCGCUGUAUCAGCUGCAAGAUGGCCGGAUUAGUGGAGGUUCCAAUGGCAACAGUAUUCCAGACCCCCUCGAUCUGCUAAGCCAGGUCGUGGUCUUCAUGGCCGGUACACAACCAGCGCAACACUCUUCUACCGUAGCGGCAAUGAUCUCCGGUUCAGCAACAGCAACGCCAGCGGGAGCAGGGGGCUCGUCACCGCCUCCGGCUCAAGUUUUGUUCGAUCUGUUCGACACUUUAGCAACGUUACUAGCAGCAGAGGUGGACGCGGCAAACUGGGAUCGGCACAACACGAAUAUUGCAAAGGUGAAGGAUUGGAUAGGCUAAAGCGGACCUGGCGGCAGAGAACGCCAGGAUGGCUACAGAACGGGCCGAGUUAGAAGCUCAGGCCUACCGGCUUAGGCUGGAUCAGAGUGCCUCAGAUGAUGUGAUGAGGAGGAGAUACCGGUCGCACCUCCCUCCAGGUUAUGAGCCAAGAAAUCUCUUCAUCACGCCAGGAGCAGGAACCAGUAACCAGCUGGUCGUAAACCGGACUGAGGCACCGGUAACAGGAGCGCCGGUUCAACGCACGAUGGACCUGCCUCGUCAGAACAACAUUGUGUCAAAGCGCGUUCCGACGCCUCUGGGGCAUUACUCCAACCCAUUGGAUAACAUUGUGGCCGCCGCUUCAUGAUUGGCAGCUCUCCCGAUCGAAGGCGAGUAACCGGUGGCGGUUGAGACACGACGGGCUAGGGAACUCCUCCAAACAGCUUUAACCCAGCAACAGGCUUAUUCGCAUAGUCGUGAGAGGAUUCAUUCCACCACCCCCCUCCCAUCCAAGCCGGAGUUACAGCAGGCAUAUUGAUGAACCGGUUGUGUCAAGCAGUGCGCGGCACGGUAACCUGGCGGGUGGUGGAGCUAAUGCACAAGAUGUGGUGGAUCAUGGCCGAGCCCGUCGAGAGGCCGAGUUAGCAGCUCAACAUGCAGCCCGUCAGCCUACUCCGGUUCGUCCGACCAACUCAGUAGAACCAGGUGUGGUCUUUAGUUCUUUGGGGGUACCGUGCCUCACCCCAGCCUUGCGUAAUGUGCGACUGCCCAAGGAUUUUAAGGGCUCUCAUAAGGUGCCCAAUUACACUGCCGAUUUGCCCCCUGAGUCAUGGGUUGAGAGUUAUGAGAUGGCGAUGGAGAUGCUGGAUGUGGAUGAAGCGGUAUGUGCUAAGUAUUUCACCAUGAUGUUGGAAGGAACAGCUCAUACUUGGUUAAAGAGUCUACCAGCUAACUCCAUUGCGUCAUGGGCCGAGUUAAAGAGUCGGUUUAUCCAGAAUUUCAAGGAUACAUGUAAGCAGCCCAUGUCAAUUGUGGACCUAGCCGCUUGUGUUCAAGAGGAUGGGGAGUCUACGACCCAUUGGGUGAAGUGAGUCUCAGCUAUUUUGCAUUCAUCAGACCGCAUCAAUGCAGAUACAGCAGUUUUGACGUUGGAGGGCAACUGCCGGUCCAUGCCAUUAAAACUGAAGUUGGGAAGGCUCAAACGUCACUGUAAUGACAUGUCAACACUUAUGGCCGCUUUGGUUAAAUAUGCCGAUUCAGAUAGUACCAAGGACCCUGAUUCUGAAGAGGACAAACCAGGGAAAGGGAAAAAGAAUGGCAGUGCCAAGGGGCAGCAGCAUAACCCGGCAGGUCAUGGGAACAAUGGUAAGCACAAAGCGGACAAUAGCCUGGAUUUUGUGGCUAACACCAACGCCCAGGAUAAUAGUCAGCGUCAUAAGGGUAAACCGCCCUAGAGGGGUGGAGGGUCAGGCCCAAAUCUGGAGCGCCUACUAAAUCAACCUUGUCCAAAGCAUGGAUCAAAGGAGAAGCCAGCUUCGCGUCUUUGGAAGGAUUGUUUCAUCAUGCGAGAGUUCAAGAAUUCCAAUAUGUUUCGAUACGAAAAUGGCCCGCCCGGCGGUUCAGGAGGCAGUUUUCAUGGACCGGGUUACGGAGGUAGCAGCUCCGGUUCAGGAUUCUAAGGCAAUCAGAUCGGACAUGGCAAUCAAGGUAAUCAGGGCAAUCAGGGAGGUUAUAACCAUCAGGGGAAUCGGCAGCAGCAGUAGUCGGGUUAUCAGAGCAAUCCGAAGCAGUUGAAUAGUGGGAAGUAUCAUGUCUUUACCACUAGCUUGUGUAAGCAUGAUCAAAAGCUUCACAAAAGGGUCGUGAACUCUGUUGAACCGGCGGUACCUCAGUAUUUGCGCUGGUCUGAACAACCCAUUCUAUGGAGUCGAGAGGAUCACCCACCCCGGGUUGAUAAUCCGGGUCAUCAGGCCUUAGUGGUGGCACCUCAAGUUGGGGGGUGUAAGUUCACCAAGGUGCUUAUGGACGGGGGGAGCAGUAUCAAUAUCCUUUACUAUGAUACAUUCCGCCGUAUGGGAUUGACAGAUAAGAGUCUUAAACCGUCGAACACCGUUUUUCAUGGUGUGGUGCCUGGUAAAUCGGCAUAUCUAGUGGGCAAUAUAGCCCUAGAGGUGUCUUUUGGAGAUGAUCAUGAUUCAAGGUCAGAAACGUUGACUUUUGAGGUGGUGAAAAUCAAGAGUCCGUAUCAUGUCAUGUUCGGACGACCGGCUUAUGCCAAGUUCAUGGCGAGGCCGUGUUAUGUUUAUCUACAGCUUAAGAUGCCGGGUCAUAAGGGGACCAUCAAAGUACAUGGGAGCAGGAAGAUUGCUUUGGAAUGUGAAGAGGGUGAUGAGGCUUAUGCUGAGUCAGUUUAUGCCACAGAGGAGCUGAAGUUUUAUAAGGACAAUGUUGAUCCGGCAGAUAUGACUUCUCUGAAGAAGCCAACUACAGAGCAUGAUCCGGCACUGAAAUUUAAAUCAGCUGUAGACACUAAAAUAGUUGAUUUUGUUCCUGGUGAUUCAUCUCAGCAGUUCAGCAUUAGCGCUAACCUGGAUCCCAAAUAGGAAAGCGUGCUCAUCGAGUUCAUCUGUGAGAACCAGGACAUCUUUGCAUGGAAGCCUUCUGACAUGCCAGGUGUACCGAGGGAACUCGCUGAGCACACCCUUAACAUAGAUCCUAAGUUUAAACCGGUCAGGCAGUUUCUCCGCCGCUUCAACGAAGAGAGGCGUAAGGCUAUUGGAGAGGAGGUAGCCCGGCUUUUGGUAGCAGGGUUUAUCGUGGAGGUCUUUCACCCUGAGUGGCUGGCUAAUCCGGUACUAGUUCUUAAGAAAAACGACACUUGGCGGAUGUGUGUGGACUACAUGGACUUGAACAAGGCUUGUCCAGCUGACCCCUUUGCUCUCCCUCGUAUUGAUCAAAUCAUUGAUGCUAUGGCGGGGUGUGACCGUUUGUGUUUUCUGGAUGCUUAUUCUGGUUAUCAUCAGAUCAAAAUGGCAGUUAAAGACCGGGAGAAGACAUCUUUCAUAACUCCCUUUGGAGCCUUCUGCUAUGUAUCUAUGCCUUUUGGGCUCAAGAGUGCCCGGGCGACUUAUCAGCGUUGUGUUCAGAAUUGUUUUCAUAAGUAGAUUGGGCGCAAUGUUCAUGCAUAUGUGAUGACAUUGUGGUGAAAUCUAGGAAGGAGGAAACACUGAUAGAUGACUUGAAGGAAACCUUUGAUAACCUCUGGGUUUAUAAGAUGAUGCUUAAUCCGGCCAAAUGUGUCUUUGGUGUUCCGGCAGGCAAGCUCUUGGGUUUUCUGGUGUCUAACAGGGGCAUUAAGGCUAAUCUGGAGAAGAUCACAACUAUCACCUCUCUGGCUAAACCGGCAUGUAUCAAUGACGUUCAACGUUUAGCGGGCUGGAUUUCGGCUUUGAGCUGGUUUAUCAGUCGUCUUGGGGAGAAGUCUAUCCCUUUAUAUCAGAUGCUAAAGAAAACAGAUGACUUUGUCUGGAGCGACGCGGCUGAUAAAGCGUUUGAGGAUUUGAAGAGACAGUUAGCUGAACCGCUAGUCCUUGUAGUUUCGGUCGAUAAAGAGCCCUUAUUGCUAUAUGUGGCUGCUAAUGUCCGGGCUGUUAGUGUGACUAUUGUUGUGGAGCGCAAGGAGGCUGGAAAGGAGUAUCCGGUUCAGCGGCCAGUUUAUUAUACCAGUGAGGUGCUUAUUGAGUCGAAGCAGAGGUAUCCGCAUUGGCAGAAGCUGGUGUAUGGGCUUUUCAUGGCAAGCCGAAAGCUCAAGCAUUAUUUUUAGGGUCAUCCUAUCACAGUGGUCAGUUCAGCCCCUCUGGGAGAUAUCAUUCAAAACAGAGAAGCAACUGGCCGGAUUACCAAAUGGGCUAUUGAGCUUGGACCUCACGGGAUAAAAUAUACGCCUCGCACAACAAUCAAAUCCCAAGAACUUGUGGACUUCAUCAAUGAUGGGACAGAGUUGCAGGCACCGGAGGAAAAGCCAGAUAACACAUAUUGGACCAUUCACUUUGAUGGGUCUAGACAGUUGGAGGGCUCGGGGGCUAGAGUCAUAUUAACUUCCCCACGAGGUGACAAGUUUUGUUAUGUUCUCCUCUUAAUGUUCCCUUGCACUAACAAUGCAGCUGAGUAUGAGGCCUUACUCCAUGGUCUGAGGAUGGCUAAGGAGAUGAACUUAAGCCGGGUUAAGUGCUUCGGUGACUCGGACCUGGUGGCUCAGCAGGUAUCUGGCACUUGGGAUUCUAAGGAUCCACUCAUGGCUGCAUAUCGAUGAGAGGUGGACAUAGUGGCUGGUCAUUUCAAGGGUUAUCAAGUUGACCAUAUAGACCGGCGAAAGAAUGAGGCGGCGGACGCUUUAAGUUGUCUAGGCUCUCAGCGUAAACCGGUGCCACCUAAUGUCUUCCUUGACGUACUUCAUAAUCCUCGGUCAAGAUACCCAUAGAGGAGGAGUUGGCUAUUCCUGACCCGGAGGCCCAGUUGGUGGCGGCUUUGCAUGUUAUACCAGAUUGGACAGUCCCGUACCUGGCUUACAUGAACCGAGGCGAGUUACCGGAUGAUGAAACCUUGGCCCGACAGAUAAUCCUGCGAUCCAAGUCAAUGACCGUUAUCAAUGGGGAGCUACAUCAUUACAGUGUCAUAGGAGAAAUUCAGCGUUGUGUGUCUCCUCAAGAGGGUUGUGAGAUUUUGCGAGAAAUCCAUGAAGGAGAUUGUGGUCACCACGCCGGUUCAAAAUCCUUGGUGGCUAAGGCUUUUCGUCACGGCUUCUAUUGGUUGACGGCUCAUGCUGAUGUUGAGGAUUUAGUAAAAAGGUGUGACGGUUGUCAAAAAUUUGCACACCGCGCUCAUGUUCCGGCUCAAGAGUUGAGAAUGACUCCAAUCACUUGGUCGUUUGCAACUUGGGGGCUAGAUAUGGUUGGACCUUUUAAGAGGUCCAAAGAUAAGAAGACCCACCUCUUAGUGGCAGUUGAUAAAUUUACCAAGUGGGUAGAGGCAGAACCAGUCAACAAGUGUAAUGCGGCCAUGGCGGUUCAAUUCAUCAAAAAGGUGAUAUUCCGGUUUGGUUUUCCACACAGCAUCAUAACUGAUAAUGGUACUAAUCUAUCCAAGGGUGCGAUGGAGGAGUUUUGUCAAUGAGAGCACAUCCGACUUGAUGUGUCAUCAGUGGCUCACCCUCAAUCUAAUGGUCAAGCAGAAAGGGCAAACCAAGAGAUCUUGAGAGGAAUCAAAACCCGGCUUAUGGUUCCUUUAAAGCGGACGCCGGGUUGUUGGGUGGAGGAGUUACCUUCCGUAUUGUGGAGUAUCAACACCACACCAAACAGAUCUACGGGUUACACGCCUUUCUUCAUGGUUUAUGGAGCAGAUGCGGUUCUCCCUAGUGACAUCCGUCAUGACUCGCCCCGUGUGGCGGCUUACGUUGAAGCUGAAAAUGAGAAGGCACAUCAGGACUCACUGGACCUAUUAGAUGAGGAGCAUGAUCUCGCAGCGGCGCGGUCGGCGAUUUAUCAACAAGAUCUUCGACGUUAUCACAGCCGCCGAGUUAAGACCAGAACUUUUCAAAAGGGCGAUCUGGUGCUCCGGCUCAUCCAGGAUCAGACUGACAUGCACAAGUUAUCCCCGCCUUGGGAAGGACCUUUUGUGGUCAGCAAAAACCUGCACAACGGGUCAUACUACUUUAUCGAUGUUCGAGAGCACAAAGACUCACGCAAAUCGGAGGAGGUGACCCAGCGGCCAUGGAAUAUAGCUCUUCUUCGGCCUUACUAUACUUGAGCCACAGGCUCUUCUUAUGUACAUACUUAUGAUAAUGUAUAUAUUAUAUAAUAAACCAGAGCCUCAGCUAAAGCGGGGUAUCUGUUAUUUUUUACAUCGUGUGUGGUUACAUGGGGGCUUCUACUUAUAAAGCGGAGUUCUACUAACCCGGUUUAUGAAGCUACACCGAUAUAAAGGAAAUCACUAGGGGGCUUGGUCGUAUUCGAACCAUAGCUACACCUCUUGAUCGGCUUAAGGCAAAAUAGGGAAAUCACUAGGGGGCUUGGUUGAAUUUACACCAUAGCUACACCUCUUGAUCGGCUUAAAGCCAAAAGGAAAUUAUGUGGAACCAAAGAGAGUCUAUUGCAUAAAGCACAACUCAAACAUAGGUAACCACUGAGCAUAGCUCAAACAUUACUUGGGGGCUCCUUGCUUCUCAAAGAACAACGAGAUUGCACCCUUGUAAUAGGCUAUCAAGCUAGGCUUGGAAGCCAAGUGUAUUCACCUAAAACCCUGGGUUAUCCUGCCUCUUUAAGUAAGCCACUCCGUCCAGGUAAACCUGGUAUGACCCAUCGAACGUUUGACAAGUCAAUCUCAUAGACCCUGAACUUGUCAAAGUUAAAACGAUGAUUGGUUAAAUAUUGAGGUCCAUAUUAAAAGGCUUUGAAAAAUGUUUUAACUCAGCAGCCUGGCAGCCCAUGAAAAGCCUCGAUUUAGGUCCUGGCAGCCCAUGAAAAGCCUUGCAUAUUUCUUUUGUAUUUGUUGUUUUAAACAUCUUUUGAUAAGGGAUUUAUGAAUAUUUUUUGAUAAACCGGUGUUUAUUACAACCCGGCAUGGCUUUCAACACUAAGUUGUCAUUACAUGGUCGGUUUUAAUCCGGCAAUAAUAUUGCUCCGGUCUGGUUUGACUACAGUUCACCACAAUUAUAUGCAUAAACCGGUGUUUACCAUCACCCGGAAAGAUUUUGGUAUGAACCGACAAGGAUGCAAGGAGUCAUCAACACUCCAGAUUGGUGUUAUCAUCUUUUGUUAUAACAACAGUUGGUAAGCCAAACGAGAUAUACCACAGGUAUCAUCUAUUGUAUAUCUAUAUAUUACAGCCUUGGUUCGGCAUCCAGGUUAUAUAUAUGCUUGGGCACCAUGACCCGUCCAGCGGUAAACCGCUAGGACACUUUCAAUUUUUUUUGCAGGAAUAAGAUAAAUAAAGCCACUGUGGAUUAUGCAUAUAAUAGAUCCCAAAAGCAUGGCGAGUUAUCAAUGUCAAGCACAACAAGUAUGCUCGAUGGCAUAAGCAGAUAAGUAUUUGAACUAGCCUAUUACAAGGCGCUUUAGUGCCCACACAGGAUAAUUGUUUCUACAAGUUUGGCAAAUGAUUAAACCGGCUUCCGGAUUACGAUUCUUCAUCCGGAUAGCUUGAAGAUUGAGGGUCAUCUUGAGCGGGUGCAUUCUCCUCAUCCCUACCCAGUCGCUGGAAAUCAAUCAUUGACCAAUCAAUUCCAGUUAAAGCUUGAAAAUGGCUUCUUCAUGAAUAAGGUUGGAAGGGUCAAUGUCAGGAGCGUAAGUGUGCUUACGGAUUGGCGGAACAAGAUCUUCUACAUUAUGAAUCGGCGCGGGCUGUCUUUUCCCCUCAACAUCGUAAACCGGUUGAUAAUGAGAUAGAUUUAUGUCAUCCGCCAAUUUGCUUGCUAUAGGCCGCAUUUCCUUUGUCAGCCUUCGGAGAUCAUCGUUGUUGAAUUCGGUGCCAUCUUUCUUCACGCUGGGGUAGCCUUGGCCGAUAUCUGCCGGUUCAAGAUCUGGAAUCCACGCCUUGGCCCGGAUUAGUACGGUCAGCGCACCUGACCUUGCGGCUGAUCUCUUCAGUUCAUCCAACCGGGCAGGCAGCUUGGCCAGCUUUUCGAUGGUCUCUUUUAUCAGCGCUGGAGGAGGUUUGUUAUAAGAUGCAGUGCAAAUGGCUCGCUGGGAUCCAGAAUACAGCUGUUCUAUCAAAGUAUAGGUCGCUUUAAGUUUCAUCCGCAUGUAGGAGCCCAGAUGAGUAAUCCGUGUCCCUGUCAUGGUAAAGCGUCAGUAAUCCGGCCUUUGAUAAGAUAUUAUGGAUUGGGAAAACUUCAUAUGAGGAAACUCACCAAAUACAGUAGAGGUCAUGGCAUUAAUAUGCCGCUUUAAGCCGGUCAGUUCUUCAACCAUCGGCUUCAAGGCUGCUUCUGCAUCUUCGGCCUUCUUUGUCAAACCGGACUUCUCGGCAUCCUAGUAUGCACGUUCCUUCUUAAAAUUUUCUUUCAGCUUCUCCAUGGCUGCUAAGGCUUUAGUCAGUUCCUCCUUGGCUUUGGCAGCUUCCACUUGCUGAGACUCGAUGUUGUCUUGAAGAUCAGCGGUUUGGGAGUCCUUUUUGCUCAGCUCAGCCUGUAAAGGAAUGACAUAUCAUCAGUGGGAAGUAUAUAUUUGAAGUACCAAGCACAUAACAAGUUAUGCACUUUGUACUUGGGGGCUAAUGCCUAUUUUCUCUGUUGUCAGAAAUUUUUACAAGUCCCAAAUACAAUGCAAACAUUAUCUGUGGCACUUGGGGGAUAAUGUACAUCUGUUGAAAGUUGAAGCAUUGAUUAAAGAGCCAGUUUACCUUGGAAAGAUAAACCGGCCCUUGGGGGAAACACAGAUGAAAACUACAGGAAUACAACGAUAAAGUACCGGUUUAUUUCAAAGGAUCACCUGGCAUAUGGAGGAUAAGUAUGCAAGGGUUGAGAUAUUACAAAGUCCCCAUUUAUGAUUGCUAUCAUAAACCGGCCCUUGGGGGCUACUAGAGUUGGUAUUUGCAAUUGGACUUAAGAAAGGAAAAGUUCUGUCAUUACCUCAUAGCGCUCCUUCAUCAGAUUCACCAAACCGGCUUCAUAAUCAUGGUUUGUGUGCAGACAGUUUAGAAAGCCAGAGUGGAGUUCUUGAGCACUGAAGUGGGCAUAGCUUGAUAAAUCGGUGCUCCACUUGCCUUUCUCCAUGGCAGCACGUUCUUCUUUGGCACUAUGUUUUGCCAAUACAACAGGUUGGCCAGGAGAGGUGUGGCCAAUACCGAUAAUGAUAACCUCAUAUUCUUUAUUUCCAACAGCCUUUUCUGGAGUUGAUGGAGUAUCGGUCAUCUUCACUGGACUAGAAGAUCCGUCAUCAGCCUGGAUUGGACUGGCUGGUUUAUCAUCUGGCACAGCGGUAUCAACUUCUGUUUGCUCAUUCAAAUCAUGAUCCGAAGGGGGUGGUUCAUGAACAACGGUGUCUACAUGAGGACCUUCCAGUUCAGUGGUUUGCUCCGGUUCAACAACCAAUUCUUCAGACGGUUUAUUCACCCAAGUUUUCUUGUUGGGUCUAGCCUUGGCUCUAAAAAGGACAAGAUGCAAGGAUGAAAAUAGCAUGCAAAUACAAAGAGUCAAAAGAUUCAGUUAAAACUUACCCAGCAAUGGUCUUAAGGGGAGGGAGUUGUGUUGUUGUUGACUCGCCAGAGGAUGAAGGAGGUGUCACCUAAUAAUUUGAAUCAGACGGAUUAAGAGGUUGUCGGUAAUAGCCGGCCUUGGGAUAAGAAGUUUCAGAAGUGGGUGAGACCUCAGUUCGGCAUUUCCGGACCAGGGUAUUCGGUAAACUGGUCGAAGUGAUCGUUUGACCGUUGUGUCGGGUUGUGCGGCGAGCCUCGUGUUGCUGCUUCUUCAAAAUAAAUGUUGGAUCCAAGUGAGCGAGAGGGUGAGAAAAUCUUACUUUCCAGACUGCUUGACGGAUUUUUUGUAUUGGCAGAGAGUCUGAACCGGAGGAAAGGAUAAUUACCUCUGCAUCGUCAGCUUGGCUGCCCUCAACGUCCUCCUGAUAAAUAUCAUUGUCAAUAAGAUGCAUGAAAAGUGAACCAAGUGAAUCAAGUUCUACCUCUGCGUCCGGUUCGUCUGGGUCGUCAUCAAGCUCUAAACUGAUGGGUUCAGGCGCUUUUCUCUUCAUGGUUUUCUUGACAGCUUUUGUUUUAGGAAGAGAAGGCUUCACCGCUUUCUCUUGAGGUUUGUUUUUCCAGAACAGAUCAUCACCCUGUUUAAAAAUGGGAAGAGGGUGUCGUGGAAUUUUCACGGCAGAUGUCCUUAGUGUCAGGACUUAGUCGCGAGGCCAACGCAUCUAUGUGGCAGCUUGAGAGGGGUUGAGUGGGACGAGAGACACAAUGUUUUACCCAGGUUCGGCCCCUCACGGUGGAGGUAAAAGCCUACAUCCUGCUUCAUUGAUAUUGAUGAUGAUCGCGGUUACAAGAGUGCUCUAUUUCGAGAGCUAUUGUCUAAACCUAACUUGUCCAACUUGUGGAACUUGUGAAUCUUAUCCCUUUUGGGGAGCCCUGCCCCUCCUUAUAUAUGUUGGAGGGGCGGGUUACAUGUAGAGUCCUAUUAGGAUUAGGACUAGUCUAUCUCUAAUACAAACCGGAUAUAAGUCCAGGUCUUAACUCCUUGUAGGACAAAUAUUCCUCAUGCCUUUCCUCUUAAACCGGCCCACCGUUAAACGUGAACCGGCCUUCUAGGCCUUGGGCCUUGUCAUCCAUCUGUCCCGCCCGCCGGAUCACCAGUGAGUCAUAAUGACCAGGUGGGUUGCUUGUAGACCGCCAGGUCAGGGCGGGUUGCUAGUAACUCACCAAGUGUCAGCGGGGUCUUCAGAUAAACCGCCAAGUCCUGGCCGGGUUAACUUCCGGCCGGUUUACGCCGCGGGGUAUAUCCCCGACAUUAGCCCCCAAGUUUAGCUUGGAUUUAUUCAUGGUAAACUUAUGCUGCAAAAUAAACACAAGAACAAAUUUGACAGGUUAUGCUCCGGGUUAAGAAUUUUUGUAAACCGGUACCUGAUCAUCCUUAAGUCCUUGUUAUUUCCUCCUUCUAAGAAAUCCGGGUCAACAGACCAGCUUCAUAAUCAAUUUGCCGACCUUGGUUUGUCACCGAGAAAUAUCGUGAAGAAUAACUCCUUUGACUCAGCUCCCGAAGCGCCGGUUUAAGAAACAUGGGUCUGAAAAUACUUAUCUGAUAUUCAACCGGUUUGAAGACUUAAAACUUGCCGGUUUAAUAUUACCAAAAUAGCCAGUUUAUAAAUAUUGAUGGCGUCGGGUCAUAAUUGUUGUCGACACCGGGUCAUGUAAUUGAUCUUCCUGAUUUGCUCAAAACUGAUAAAAUGAAGAUGUUCCUCCUUUAUAUGCAUAAUACCUGUAGCCCCCAAGUCUUAAGAGGAGAACAUAGUGAUAACUUAAGACUUGCUCCAAUAAGUGUUUCAACCUUGAAGAAAUCCGGUUUGUUCAUCUCAAUCAUAUAAACUGAAUACUCCAUAUAUGUAGCCCCCAAGUGCCGGGUUGUCAUGCUUGCAGCAACCUGGGACUUGUAAUUGCUUAUAAAAACUUCAAUCAGUGUAACCCCCAAGGGCCGGGUCAUUAUGCAAUAAUGAGCAGGAACUUUGUAAAUAUAAUUAUAUAGAUUUUAGCAGUGAUGUGUAGCCCCCAAGGGCCGGCUUAGUAAGAUAAUACUGAACCGGGACUUGAUAUAUACUUCAAUGAAAAUAACAUCAUAUGAUGUAACUCCCAUCAUGGGGCUUGAACCCACGUCCACAUGGUUAAGAGCUUUGUGCUUUACCAACUGAGGAGUGGACCCUUCAACAUAAUGGAUAAAAACUUGUGUACCUUGAAUUGUUGACAGGAGCAAUUGGUAGCCCCCAAGGGCCGGCUCAUUAUAAUAUGAUGAGUCGGGUCUUCAGUAAGACUAAAAAUGACUUGGCAUUAGCCCCCAAGUGUCAUGAUGCAUGCUUGCAGCGACAUGAGACUUGCAUGUAAUCUCGAUUUGAAUAAUGUAGCCCCCAAGUGCCGGGUUGUAAGCCUGCAGCGACUCGGGACUAUUCCUUCCAUUGUAGAAUAAAUCAUAUCAUUUGAUAAAAUAAUAACCAUUGCGCUAAAGCGACUUUGAAAACUCAAUAAUACCGGUUAUUAAUAACCAAAAAAAUCCAGCCAUGUUGGCUAUUCAAGAUAAUAUAAUCCGGUAUGAAAACCUUAUUCAUUCAAUAUCAUAAUGAAAAUCCAGCCAAGUUUGGCUAUUUGAAUAAUAUAACCCAAUGAUUUAUAAGCGCAUGAUUCCAAUGGCGCAAUCCAAAUAUAUAUACUGGCGACUUAUAGUCCAAAGCCAGGCCGGUUUAACAAACCUGUUUCUGCAUACAACAAGUUUAAAGUGUCCUAGCGGUUUACCGCCGGACGGGUCAUAAUGCCCAACAUAUAACCUGGGUUUAUAACCAAGGCUGCACUUUAAAAAUAUGAAAUAUAUCAUACCUGUGACAUUGAAUCACAUUGUUGGUUUACCAACUUUUUGUAGUAAGAGUGAUAACCCCAAUCUCGAGUACUGAUAACUCUUUCCAUAUUGUGCCGGUUUAUAAUAAAACCAUACCGGGUUAUGAUAGACACCGGAUUAUCCAUAUAUAAUACUGGCGACUUGUAGUCGAACCGGACCGGGUUAAUAAUCGCCGGAUUAUAAUUGGUCAUGUACUGACAACUUGUAGUUGAAGGUCGAGCCGGGUUGAUAAACACCGGUUUACUCCAUAAGAGGAUGUUAAGAACAAGGAUCAAACCGGGCAAAUAGUCUCCGGAUUGACGUGAACUAUGUUUCGUCAAUUGAUUGGUUGAAAACUUUGUCGGUUUUAAAAAAACACAAUAAAAAGGAAAAAAGUAUCUUGCAAAGAAAAGUGUGAAGCAAAAGCAAUGACAAAAUCGUUUGCAAAAAAGAUUUAUUUUAGCUGAUCAAAUGGCGUUACCAUGGCCGAACACGACCAAGCUCCUGUUAGGGGUAACUAUGGUUCUAGUCAGCUAGGUCCCCAAAUGAAACCAUGGCAUUUAUGCCGACCAAGUGGCAUGGCAAUGGUUCGGGUUCGACCAAGCCCCCAAGUGAUUCUGUGGCCUUAGGCCGAUCAAGAGGCAUGACUGGUUCAAACAUGACCAAGUCCCCAAGUGAUCUGGUGGCUCUCGCCUAUCAAGAGGUAUUGUAUUGGUUCGGACACGACCAAACCCCCAAGUGAUAUGAUGCUUUUGAAAAGCUAACUCAAGGGGUAAACCAGAGGCCGCUUUAGAACAACUCCGUGUAACCACACAUGAUGUAAAAGAACAGAGACCCCGCUUUAUGAAGCAGAAGCCCCCAUGUGAAUAAUAAUAUAUCAGGCCAGUAAGGCGGGAUACCAAUGUUUGAACCGCGCAUCGUGGCAGCAGGUCCUCUUCGGCAAUUUUUAACUUUUUGCAAGAGAUAAAUUCUUCUUGAACCGGGAUCUUGAACCGGGUAUUGAGAGCUUCAAAGCUUUGUGGGAGACAUCUUUCCCUUAAACCGGAUUUUAAACCGAAAUCUUCAUUUUCAGCCAGAAAAUUUUCUGACGACCUUUAAACUCGAGUUUGCGAGAAGUUAAUUCCUUUUUGAACCGGACAUUGUUAAACUGGAUUUGAGCGCUCCAGAGCUUUGUGGGAGAACAGAUUUCCCUUGAACUGGGCUGUAAACCGGAUAUUUGAGAGCUGCAGUCAGACUGACUUCCCUUGAGCCAGAUUUUACACCGGAAUCCUUUCUGAUGACCUGGAUCUUAUUCAUUGAGCCGGGAUUUUGUAACUGUCAUAUACUUUCUAAACCGGAAAUUUUCUGACGGCCUUUAAACUUUCAUCAAUAUAACAGUAGCCUCCAGGACUGGGUUAUCUUUCCCUCCAUCAUCCUGGGGUUCUUAAACCGGCUGAAACUGGCAAGAUUUGCUGAGUCAUGUCAUCGUAGCCCCCGAGUCUCAGAGGUGACUCAAGGAGUUGGCUUGAGACUCUCCAUAUUUGGCCGUGAUAUAAACCGGCAUAACGUGUAUAUCAUUGGCGUUGAUAGCACGAUGUAAAUCCAUAGAAAGUUGAGGUGACUACGGCGGGUUGUAAAUGAUCCCAUAUGAGCCGUGUCAGCAACUCGGCCAAUGGUUCCUUCCAACUGGCGAUUUGAAGUUAACCAAAACUGUAGUGGCGGUGACUUGUGCGCCUGCCCAUUGAACCAUCCAGUGCAAACGGCGGUUGAUAAUAAUUUGUCUCCAAUUUGAAAGAAAACCGGGCUACCCAAGCUGUGACUUACUCAUACCCAAUAAACAGCUAAUGCGGACAGGUGUUGUAACUGUAACAUCCCAAAUUUUCAAUUUGGAAUGUUAUACAUUAGAUCAUCAUGCAUAUCAUAUUUUAUUUUGAUUUUGGUUUUGAUCCUAGAAAAUCCUAAGCAACUCAAGGACCCACGGAGAGAGUUGGGGAUUUCGUUAUUUACAUAUUUGAGUUUUCUCAAAUUUUGUAAACAGGAUCAUUUGAUUUUAUUUAUUUUAUCAUCAAUUAUUUCUAUUACAAAAAUAUGAGAGAGGGAAUAAAAUGACUUUCCCAAAAUAUAGAAAUAUUGAGGAUUUAAUAAAAAAAUCAAAUAAGAUUUAUUUCGGAGUUUUUCGGUAUUUUUAUUUGAAUUUAGGAAAAAUGCGCGUUUUUCAAAAUUGCAUUUAGGGCCCAAAUAAAAGUUCACUUUAUCGGGCUUGAUUUUAGAAACCCGGGAAAAUUUAUUUUAGGAUUUUUGGAGUCCGUUUAGUAUUUCUUUUUAUUUUUUUUCCGAGCAUAAUUCUUUAAAAAAAAGAGCGGAACCGACUAUGGGCCGUACUCGGCCAGGACUCCCCUGGCCGGGGCCUUUAUAAGCCGGGGCAAGCCAGCCCGAAGGCCAGCCGCCCCGAAACCCUAGGCCCAGCCGCCGCCGCCGCCCCGCCGCCGAUUCCGCCGGAGCCGCGCGUCGCCCGAGGUUUGCCGCCCUCGAAAUCCGUGCCUUUUUUUAGGAAAAAAAAUUCCGUUCGUCGUUUUCUUUUUCGUCGGAUUUUUCCGCGGUUAUUUUCUGAUCGCGAUUUCUGAUCCGAUUUACGUUUUAGUAUAACUUUUCGCUCGUUUAUCGGAAUCAGGCGAUUCAAGCGCCUUGAGUUUCGUCUCGAAACCCUCUUUCCGAAUAAUCAACUUAAACAAGUUUUUGCUACAGUAAAACUUGACUUAGAUCCAGAUUACUAGAACGAAGUUGUUUUCUUUCGCUGUUUGAUUUCUUUUGCUUCGUUCGAUUUGAUUCUUUUUGCAAACCAGGGUUCUUAAGUUGAAAUUUCUGGUCAGAUCUUCUAUUUGAGUUUUACUUGUGCAUUAUAUGAGUACUAAUUGUAUGCUUGUUUGUUUGUCUGCGAUAGAAUACCCAGAGUGCGCCGCCUGUUACUUUGAAUCCCUAGGUUUUGCGGAUCAUCAGCAAGGCAAGUAACACUUUGAUCAUACCUUUUUCUACAACCCAGUUUUAUUGCAUUAGAUCAAUCCUCACACAUUGCAUGAUUAUGAUCUAAUUAAAUUGUGGGAUGGGAAGUAGAUGAGGUAGUAUCUAUUACCUGUUUAUUAUCAAACCUUUGGGAGUUAUUUUCUACGUUUGCUUAUCAUGCCAUGCUAUGCUAGUAGACGUGGAUUGGGUGAGUGAUAUCCAUGACAGAUGUGAGAUUGUUAAUUAAUGGUUUAUCUAAGGUGGCAACCUAAACACACAUCUGGGUGGAUUGAGGCACCUGGGUAUUCCAGGACUUGCCUGUUUUUCUUUGGACCGCCACCCAGGCUCAAAGGGAUCAUGAGAUUAUUCAUACUAGAAACUUCCAUGUGCAGCCACAAGCCAUUAUGGGCUCUGGCAUAGUUGAUUAAGUCAUGCGAACUCUUACAGGGUAGACUAGCAGAUGUAGGGGAUGUAGGUGGUACGGUCUACCCGAUCGUAAGGUGCUAGCGCUUCUGAAAGACUAUGUCUCGGUCAUCCGUUUCUCAAGCACCAUGUAGUGCGAGAAAUCCAACGGAGGCGAUCGAGUCUUGUGGGGAAAAGUGCGCAAACCUCUGCAGAGUGUAACAAACUAAUCAUGGUUAGCCGUGUCCCCGGUUAUGGACAUCUUGAGUAUCUAGUACCUGGAUUAUCAUGUGAAUCUCAACAUGUUACACAAAAGUAAAUUUUGUUGGGUUUAAUGAUGUUACUUUAAUUGGGAUUGAGAAUGCUGUAAACCAUUCUCAAUGUUUAACAAACACCAUGAUAGUAAUUAAAUUUAUUCCUUUGAAGUAGGGAAAAAUUGGCUUUACGCAAAAACCGUAACCAUAGAGCUUUCCACCAGCCAAAUAUGCAUAUAGUAUAGCUGUUGCAUUCCUUUACUCUCUAUGUGUUACCUUGCCAACAUAUUCCAUGUGCUGACCCAUUCUCGGGCUGCAACGUUAAUGUUGCAGACUUUUCAGACGACGAUUAAGGAGUUUUAGGUCGUGGUUCUAUACUCAGUGAUGCCGUUGGAGUUGAUGGACUCACUUAUCUUCCAAGCCUUCCGCUGUUAUCGUUAUUAGAUGGCCUUAAGCCAUAUCUAUUGUAAUAAGUUCUCUUUUGAGACACUCGAUGUAAUAAGUGUGUGAUUGCUACUCUGCUAUAAAUCCUUCGAGUACUGUGUGGUGUCAGCAUUACUGAUCCAGGGAUGACACCGGAGCACAGAGAUCAGACUGUUUGAGAUCUGGUCGCUACAGAGAUGGUAUCAGAGCACACGCUGACUGUAGGACACGACCACUAAGCUAAGAGACCUAGAUCACUACUCACUCUCUUCUCUUCUGACCUCUCAUCUUUUCUACUCUUUAGGAUGGCGGAUGCAAGGAACAAGUUCACACAACCAGAUGAAGAUACACCCUUUGGACGCCACUUGAAGGAAGUCACUAGGUACCUGAACCUAGGAAUACCAAGCUUCACGGGAACCUACAACGCCACUUUACCUGAAGAAGAGCGCUGGAUGAUUCAAGUUCAAGUUCCAGGAAGGACGUUCAUGCCAGUCAUUGAGCCCAUAGAGUUUUCUUUUGAUGCACCAACUUGGAGUCUAGGAAAGAGUAUGGCAGCUCACAUUGCCAUGGGACGCAUUGGAGAAGUCUACCGCAAGGAUCUCAAGGAUACUAUCUACCAGAUUUGUGGGCGCCGAGAUGAACACUAGGAGAUGAUCAGCACCAGGAAAGAUAGAUCAAUUGCAGCUUUUAUCCAAGAGUUAAACCAUCACAUUCAACGACAGGAGAAUCAGAUGUGCGCCGGCAUGAUAGAUCUGAAGAAGGCUAAGACUAGAAUCAAGGAACUGGAGGAAGAACUCAAGGCUACACGCGAAGAUUAUGAAGAAGAAAUUGAAGUAUUGGUGGAUAAGAAUGCCGACCUAACUAUGAAGCUAGCAGUAUUUAUGGGAGGCCCGACACCAGUAGAUGAAGACAAAGAACCCAAGGAGAUUAGCCCGGAAGACUACAUCAUCAUUGACGGCACCGACUCGGAACAAGAUAGUAGCAAUGAUGACUAUGUUGAUGAAGCAGGAGCAGAUAUCAUGGAGUCUACAACCGUAGAAUAUUUCUAGUAGACCACCUCACCAGUAGUAGUAGUCCACCAUGUAAAUUUAGUAGUCCGAGCACUUUUGCGACAGUUAGAUCGAUUGUAUGCCUUUGUUUGAUUGAAUGAAGUUAAUUGUUUGCUUUGCCUCCUGUGCAUAUGGGUAGUGUUUUCUCCUUAGACCCCCUCUAUUCUUAUAUCUCGUCUUUUCUAAACCCCCAGAUGCCUCUGAGAGGUGACCCCGAAUUUGCCUUUCCGUCGGAGCUCACCCAGUUGAUCCAGCAGCAGAACACUUUGAUGCAGUUGCUAGUUCAGAAUCAGAAUCAGGGGAACAACAACAACAACAACAACCCACCACCACCACCACCACCUGUUGACCACUUAGCCCGUUUUCUUAGGCUGAAUCUGCCGGUGUUUUCUAGUAGCACCGAGCCGAUAGUAGCAGAUGAUUGACUCCGCAAGAUAGAUAGGGAGUUGACCACAGCAGGAUGCACAGAUGCGGAGAAGGUUAAGUUUGCCGCACAUCAUUUAGAAGGACCCGCAGCAUCCUGGUGGGAGAAUUUCACAGCCACCUUCCCAGUCGACACUGUCACAUGGGACCAGUUUCAGCAGGCUUUCCGUACUGCCCAUGUUUCAGCAGGAGCAAUGGCCAUGAAGAAGCGUGAGUUUCGUAACUUGCGCCAAGGAGGACGGACAGUUGGCCAGUAUGUGGAGGAGUUUAGUAAGCUAGCACGUUAUGCCCCAGAUGACGUUGCUACGGAUGCAGCUAAGCAGGAGAAAUUCCUGGAAGGAUUGAAUGAUGAGUUGAGUAUGCAGUUGAUGGUAGCCACCUUCAACAACUACCAGGAGUUGGUAGAUUGCGCUCUUAUGAUUGAAGGGAAGCAACAGCAAAUUGAGAACCGCAAGAGGAAGUAUGGACAAGAAAAGUAUAAUUCAGGAGCUCAGCAGAAGCCACGUUUUACCCCUAGACCGGGAGGACAUUUUUAGCAUACCCAUGGAGUAGGUAGCUCGCACAAUCACAAUGGCACCAAGAAUGGUAAUGGGAAUGGAGGAAGCAAUGGCCAGAACCGCAGCACCCCAUCAACCCCAGCCAAGAGAGAUCUGAGUCAAGUCACCUGUUUUAAGUGUUCCAAGACCGGACAUUAUGCCAAUGAAUGUCCUGAAGGCCAAAACGGUAAUGGAAGCUCUGGAAAGAAGCCGAACCCUUUCAACAGGGGACAGGUGAACCACGUUAAUGUGGAGGAGGUUGAAACUCAGCCCGAUGCAGUAAUAGGUAAGUUUUUGGUUAAGUCAUUUACUGCACUCGUUCUUUUUGAUACUGGUGCAUCGCAUUCCUACAUCUCAAGGGGAUUUGUGGAUAAGUAUAACCUACCAACCCAAGCCCUUAGGUCACCCACAUUAGUAACCUCGCCAAGAGCAGAGUAUGUGGCUAGUCUAUGGUGUGAUCGGUUACCAUUAAGGAUUGGUAACUAUGUUUUUCCCUCAGACCUAGUAGUAUUGGAAUCUCAAGGAUUGGAUGUGAUAUUAGGCAUGGAUUGGUUAUCAAAGUAUGAAGGGAAUAUUGAGUGUGCUAGUAAGUCAAUUUUGCUUACCACACCAGAAGGGAGAAGGAUCAAGUAUGUAUCCCGGCAUGUGCCAAAGAGGACCCAAGUAAAUUGCCUAACAGGAGUUGUGCAGGAGGAAGUACCAGUGGUAAGGGAUUUCCCUGAUGUAUUUCCAGAAGAGUUGCCAGGCAUGCCACCAGAUAGAGAUAUUGAGUUUUUGAUUGAGCUAUUGCCAGGCACUGGGCCAAUAUCAAAGAGACCAUAUAGGAUGUCAGCAAAAGAUUUGGUGGAAAUUAAGAAGCAGGUUAAGGAGUUACUGGAUAAGGGAUAUAUUCGCCCAAGUUCUUCGCCUUGGGGAUCACCAGUACUUCUAGUGGAGAAGAAGGAUGGAUCGUUAAGAAUGGUUGUUGAUUAUCGAGGAUUGAACGAAGUAACGAUCAAGAACAAGUACCCGCUACCAAUGAUCAAUGAUCUGUUUGAUCGAUUGCAAGGGGCUAAAGUAUUUUCCAAGAUCGAUUUGCGAUCAGGAUACCACCAGUUGAAGAUUCGAGAACAGGAUAUUCCGAAGACAGCUUUUACCACCAGGUAUGGGCUGUAUGAGUAUACCGUUAUGUCAUUUGGUCUAACUAACGCGCCUGCCUAUUUUAUGAACAUGAUGAACAAAGUGUUUAUGGAGUUUUUGGAUAAGUUCGUCGUAGUGUUCACUGAUGAUAUCCUGGUUUAUUCAAAGAAUGAAGAGGAACAUAAGGAGCAUUUGCGUUUGGUACUUGGAAAGCUCAGAGAACAUCAAUUAUAUGCCAAGUUCAGCAAAUGUGAGUUUUGGUUGAAGGAAGUAGGAUUCCUCGGACACGUUAUAUCCGGAGAAGGUAUAGCAGUAGAUCCCGCUAAAGUUGAAACCGUGACCAAGUGGGAAGCCCCAACUACUGUUGGAGAGAUCCGGAGUUUUCUUGGACUCGCAGGAUACUACCGGAGAUUUAUUGAGAACUUCUCAAAGAUUGCGAAGCCUAUGACGGAGUUGCUGAAGAAGGAUACUAAGUUCAAAUGGACUGAGGAGUGUGAGGCUAGUUUCCAGGAAUUGAAGAACCGUUUGGUUACCUCACCAGUGUUGAUUUUGCCAGAUCAGACCAAGGAUUUUGAGGUGUAUUGCGACGCUUCACGUCGAGGACUUGGAGCAGUGCUUAUGCAGGAAGGAAGAGUUGUUUCGUAUGCUUCACGACAACUAAAGCCUCACGAAUUGAAUUAUGCCAUGCAUGAUUUGGAGUUAGCAGCCGUAGUGCAUGCCUUGAAGACAUGGAGACAUUUCCUCAUCGAAAAUCAUUGUGAGGUGUACACGGAUCACAAGAGUUUGAAGUACAUUUUCACGCAGAAGGAGUUGAACCUCAGACAAAGGAGAUGGUUGGAGCUCAUCAAGGAUUAUGAUAUGAGAUUGCAUUAUCAUCCCGGGAAGGCUAAUGUAGUAGCUGAUGCAUUAAGCCACAAGAGCCAUGUCAAUACGUUAAUGACGGGAGAAAUACCCAAGGAGUUAGCAGAAAAUCUUCGUGAACUAUGUGUGGAAAUAGUUCCGAGAGGCUAUGUAGUAGCACUAGAGAUUCAGUCAACUUUGAUGGAUAGAAUCAGAGAAGCUCAGAAAACUGACAAAGAGAUUGCCGCUAUAAAGGAGAAAGUGAGCACAGGAAAAGCUAAAGGAUUUCGUGAGGAUGAGCACGACACCCUAUGGUUUGAAGACCGUGUUUAUGUACCCAAUGACCCGGAGAUCAGAAAGUUGAUUCUGCAAGAGGCACAUGAUUCACCAUAUUCGAUUCACCCAGGAAAUACUAAGAUGUAUUUGGAUUUGAAGGAUAUUUUCUGGUGGACCGGAAUGAAGAAGGAUAUUGCGGAGUAUGUAGCAGUUUGUGAUGUAUGUCAGAGACUAAAGGCAGAGCAUCAGAAGCCAGCAGGAUUGUUGCAACCAUUGCCGAUACCCGAAUGGAAGUGGGAUAAGCUAGGCAUGGAUUUUAUCACGGGAUUACCAAGGACUCGUUCAGGCUAUGACUCGAUUUGGGUCGUAGUUGAUCAAUUGACGAAGGUACCUCAUUUCAUCCCAGUAAAGACCACUUACACCAGUGCUAAGUUGGCAAAGAUAUACAUGACCAGGAUCAUAUGUUUGCAUGGAGUUCCGAGGAGCAUUGUAUCAGAUAGAGGAACCCAGUUUACCUCAAAAUUCUGGAAGUAGUUGCAUGAGACUUUAGGUACUAGGCUAGAAUUUAGUACAGCUUUCAUCCGCAGACAGAUGGACAGACCGAGAGAGUCAAUCAGAUUUUGGAGGAUAUGCUGAGAGCUUGUGCGCUAGAUUAUGGAUCUAGUUGGGACGAUAAUUUGCCAUAUGCAGAGUUCUCUUACAAUAAUAGCUAUCAGACCAGUUUGAAGAUGGCCCCUUUUGAAGCUCUGUAUGAAAGGAGGUGCAGGACACCGUUGUCAUGGGACGAAGUUGGAGACCGCCAGUUGUUCGUACCAGAUCUGAUUAAAGAGUCUGAACAGAAGGUGAAGUUGAUUCGCGAUAGGCUCAAGGUAGCCCAGUCCAGGCAGAAGAGCUACGCAGAUUCUAAACGCAAGGAGACAGUUUACGAAGUCGGAGAUAGAGCUUAUCUUCGAGUAUCCCCACUUCGAGGGAUUAAGCGCUUUGGAGUUAAGGGGAAGUUAGCGCCACGAUUUGUAGGGCCAUAUCGAGUUUUGGAGUGUAUGGGAGAAGUGGCCUACAAGUUGGAAUUGCCAGGAGGAUUGACAGGAGUUCAUGAUGUGUUCCAUGUUUCUCAGUUGAAGAAGUGUCACGCGGAGAUGGCUGACAUACCCUUGAGAGACACAGUGCCAUUGGAAGCAAUUCAAUUGGAUAACGAUUUGACCUAUGAGGAGAAACCAGUCAAGAUUCUCGAGUUUGCCAGCCGAGUCACUCGCAACAAGGUUAUCAAGUUUUGCAAAGUUUAGUGGAGCCACCACACGGAGGAUGAAGCCACCUGGGAGCGAGAGGAAGAUUUGCUCAAGGACCACCCUCACCUAUUUUCUAGCCACCCGAAUCUCGAGGGCGAGAUUCAUCUUAAGGGGGGUAGGUUUGUAACAUCCCAAAUUUUCAAUUUGGAAUGUUAUACAUUAGAUCAUCACGCAUAUCAUAUUUUAUUUUGCUUUUGGUUUUGAUCCUAGAAAAUCCUAAGCAACUCAAGGACCCACGAAGAGAGUUGGGGAUUUCGUUAUUUACAUAUUUGAGUUUUCUCAAAUUUUGUAAACAGGAUCAUUUGAUUUUAUUUAUUUUAUCAUCAAUUAUUUCUAUUACAAAAUAUGAGAGAGGAAAUAAAAUGACUUUCCCAAAAUAUAGAAAUAUUGAGGAUUUAAUAAAAAAUCAAAUAAGAUUUAUUUCGGAGUUUUUCGGUAUUUUUAUUUGAAUUUAGGAAAAAUGCGUGUUUUUCAAAAUUGCAUUUAGGGCCCAAAUAAAAGUUCACUUUAUUGGGCUUGAUUUUCGAAACCCGGGAAAAUUUAUUUCAGGAUUUUUGGAGUCCGUUUAGUAUUUCUUUUUAUUAUUUUUUUUCCGAGCAUAAUUAUUUAAAAAAAAGAGCGGAACCGACUAUGGGCCGUACUCGACCAGGACUCCCCUGGUCGGGGCCUUUAUAAGCCGGGGCGAGCCAGCCCGAAGGCCAGCCGCCCCGAAACCCUAGGCCCAGCCGCCGCCAGCCCAGCCGCCGCCGCCGCCCCGCCGCCGAUUCCGCCGGAGCCGCGCGUCGCCUGAGGUUCGCCGCCCUCGAAAUCCGUGCCGUUUUUUUAGGAAAAAAAUUCCGUUCGUCGUUUUCUUUUUCGUCGGAUUUUUCCGCGGUUAUUUUCUGAUCGCGAUUUCUGAUUCGAUUUUCGUUUUAGUAUAACUUUUCGCUCGUUUAUCGGAAUCAGGCGAUUCAAGCGCCUGGAGUUUCGUCUCGAAACCCUCUUUCCGAAUAAUCAACUUAAACAAGAUUUUGCUACGGUAAAAUUUUAUUUAGAUCCAGAUUACUAGAACAAAGUUGUUUUCUUUCGCCGUUUGAUUUCUUUUGCUUCGUUCGAUUUGAUUCUUUUUGCAAACCAGGGUUCUUAAGUUGAACUUUCUGGUCAGAUCUUAUAUUUGAGUUUUACUUGUGCAUUAUAUGAGUACUUAUUGUAUGCUUGUUUGUUUGUCUGCGAUAGAAUACCCGGAGUGCGCCGCCUGUUACUUUGAAUCCCUAGGUUUUGUGGAUCAUCAGCAAGGCAAGUAACACUUUGAUCAUACCUUUUUCUACAACCCAGUUUUAUUGCAUUAGAUCAAUCCUCACACAUUGCAUGAUUAGGAUCUAAUUAAAUUGUGGGAUGGGAAGUAGAUGAGGUAGUGCCUAUUACCUGUUUAUUAUCAAACCUUUGGGAGUUAUUUUCUACGUUUGCUUAUCAUGCCAUGCUAUGCUAGUAGACAUGGAUUGGGUGAGUGAUAUCCAUGACAGAUGUGAGAUUGUUAAUUAAUGGUUUAUCUAAGGUGGCAACCUAAACACACAUCUGGGUGGAUUGAGGCACCUGGGUAUUUCAGACUUGCCUGUUUUUCUUUGGACCGCCACCCAGGCUCAAAGGGAUCAUGAGAUUAUUCAUACUAGAAACUUCCGUGUGCAGCCACAAGCCAUUAUGGGCUCUGGCAUAUUUGAUUAAGUCGUGCGAACUCUUACAGGGUAGACUAGCAGAUGUAGGGGAUGUAGGUGGUACGGUCUACCCGAUCGUAAGGUGCUAGCGCUUCUGAAAGACUAUGUCUCGGUCAUCCGUUUCUCAAACACCAUGUAGUGCGAGAAAUCCAACGGAGGCGAUCGAGUCUUGUGGGGAAAAGUGCGCAAACCUCUGCAGAGUGUAACAAACUAAUCAUGGUUAGUCGUGUCCCCGGUUAUGGACAUCUUGAGUAUCUAGUACCUGGAUUAUCAUGUGAAUCUCAACAUGUUACUCUAAAGUAAAUUUUGUGGGGUUUAAUGAUGUUACUUUAAUUGGGAUUGAGAAUGCUGUCAACCAUUCUCAAUGUUUAACAACCACCAUGAUAGUAAUUAAAUUUAUUCCUUUGAAGUAGGGAAAAAUUGGCUUUACGCAAAAACUGUAACCAUAGAGCUUUCCACCAGCCAAAUAUGCAUAUAGUAUAGCUGUUGCAUUCCUUUACUCUCUAUGUGUUACCUUGCCAGCAUAUUCCAUGUGCUGACCCAUUCUCGGGCUGCAACGUUAAUGUUGCAGACUUUUCAGACGACGAUUAAGGAGUUUUAGGUCAUGGUUCUAUACUCAGUGAUGCCGUUGGAGUUGAUGGACUCACUUAUCUUCCAAGCCUUCCGCUGUUAUCGUUAUUAGAUGGCCUUAAGCCAUAUCUAUUGUAAUAAGUUCUCUUUUGAGACACUCGAUGUAAUAAGUGUGUGAUUGCUACUCUGCUAUAAAUCCUUCGAGUACUGUGUGGUGUCAGCAUUACUGAUCCAGGGAUGACACCGGAGCACAGAGAUCAGACUGUUUGAGGUCUGGUCGCUACAGGUGCGGCCCGGUAUGUUGAUGUAGACCAGGCCGCGAGAGACGGACGACAAAAGCGACCGCAACAUCUGAGGCAGCUCGGAUAGAUGAACUGACCGCGGCAUUGUAAACCGGUGCGGACGGGAAAGAUUGGCACCGGUGUCGUAAACCGGUGCGGACGAGCGAGUCAACCACGUCGUGUUGAUGUAGUGAACAAUUGUCCUGCAUCAAAAACAUCGCAAGCCGAAGUAAUUUGUUCUUUGACAAAAACAAUAUGUGUCAAAAAUAGACUUAGAUAGAUUUCACUUGAUAUGUUAGGCCGAAAAUUAUCCGCCGCUGAGUUGAUGAUCACCUCGGUGAUGGUUGUAAGCCUGGUGCGGACGGGCAAGUUGUCCUCCUUGUUGUAAGCCGGUGCAGACGCCUGAACCGGCCGCGAGAGCGGAUGGGCGUGUCGUCCGUGGCGUUGUAAGGCGGUGCAGACGGGGAGAAUCGGCCGCAAGUGCGGAUGGAUGUAAACCGGCAACGUGGGCGGUGGUUUGUGCGCGUCCGUCCGGCGGUUCAUAAGAGCAAGCGCGACACCAGCGUGUUGAGGUAGUCCUCCGUUGAUUCAGGGGUGCGGCGGCUCGGCGCAGCUUCAGAGGCAAAGGUGUUACCGCUGGGCCACUCAGGGAUGCAGAUACGGCCCAGAGCAGAGGCCGGCGCGAGCGACAGUACUGGAGGGCCGCUGCAUGGAUGGCGGUUUUGAAGUGGAUGUAGCACAUGAAGUAGAUCUGAAGCGCGAGCCGGGGCGGCUGUGUGCGGAGUGGAGAAGAAGCACAACUGAGACGUCUACGAGUUGGAGAGGUGCCGGUCUAGUAGGGCCACGCGGACAUGCGGCAGUCAGACACGCCCGGCGAUGGCGGUUUAGAGAUAAAACGGAAACCGAGCUUCAGCCCGUGGCCUCGUCCAAACUUGAUAUUUGACUUUGUCAAUCCGUCCCGGUGUUGGAAUCAUGUAUCUUCACAUAAGGCAAAUCAUGCUAUUUUUCUUCUCUUAAUUCUCGACUGAACCUCCUGGUAGAUUCCUUGUAGCAAUCAGAAUUGACCAAUAGAAAACUGAUUUGGUUUCAGGUGAUAUACUAGUCGAGAAGUACACCACACUUUGAAACCAUUAGGCUGUGACGCUUGAUGUGAUGGAAACAAUUUGGCCGUGUCGGCGAAUCUUGUACGCGGCGCUGGCGGUGACAUCCUGGCGAAUCAGACCAAAAACAAACACAACUUAAUGAUUUUCCAUCCGUACGGAUCGACUUCCUUUUUGCACCUUGGCCUCUUGCAGCGGUACUCUCGAAAUUUGGCUCCGGACUGACGGAACGCCAGGUCGCAUGCGGGGACGCACAGAUUCAAACCUAAUUUUUAACUCAAAUCUUACGGAUUAUCAAUCUGAACCGAUAAACUUGAAGUUGGUACAGAUUAUUCCAAUCAGGCUCUUCUUUAUCCAGAAAAUCACAAACUCCCGAUCUCUAGGAGAGAUCCCUUCAAGAACUCAACACCACCGUGCGCAGGCCCCAUGGUGGGCGCCAAUUGUCGUGGAAUUGUCACGGCAGAUGUCCUUAGUGUCAGGACUUAGUCGCGAGGCCAACGCAUCUAUGUGGUAGCUUGAGAGGGGUUGAGCGGGACGAGAGACAUGAUGUUUUACCCAGGUUCGGCCCCUCACGGUGGAGGUAAAAGCCUACAUCCUGCUUCAUUGAUAUUGAUGAUGAUGAUCACGGUUACAAGAGUGCUCUAUUUCGAGAGCUAUUGUCUAAACCUAACUUGUCCAAUUUGUGAAACUUGUGAAUCUUAUCCCUUUUGGGGAGCCCUGCCCCUCCUUAUAUAUGUUGGAGGGGCGGGUUACAUGUAGAGUCCUAUUAGGAUUAGGACUAGUCUAUCUCUAAUACAAACCGGAUAUAAGUCCAGGUCUUAACUCCUUGUAGGACAAAUAUUCCUCAUGCCUUUCCUCUUAAACCGGCCCACCGUUAAACGUGAACCGGCCUUCUGGGCCUUGGGCCUUGUCAUCCGUCUGUCCCGCCCGCCGGAUCACCAGUGAGUCAUAACGAGCAGGUGGGUUGCUUGUAGACCGCCAGGUCAGGGCGGGUCGCUAGUAACUCGCCAAGUGUCAGCGGGGUCUUCAGAUAAACCGCCAAGUCCUGGCCGGGUUAACUUUCGGCCAGUUUACACCGCGGGGUAUAUCCCCGACAGAGGGUAUUCAAAAAUUGCAAAGUCCAAAAAUAUCAGGUGUAAAGCAGAAGCACAGACAAUACUUACAGCGGGUGGUUUGUUUUGCGUGUAAAAGGGACUUAACCCAGUCUUGCUGCAGACAGCUUCCGGUUUGUUCAACAUUUUCUUCACAGACUCAGUGACUUCUUCAUCUGUUAGCUUAAUAUUGAUAUGACGUUGAGAGUCUUGAACGUCACCAGUAUACUCACACAUUAAGCCGGAGCGGUGACUUAACGGCAAAAUGCUCCAGGAUAUCCAGCAACGGACGAAGUCCACGCCUGUUAAACCGUUGGCCAGGAAGGCUCUCAGCUUGGUGAGUUGAGGUGCGUACGAGGGCCAUUCCUGGGCACUUAGUCGUUACGGAAGCGGAUGAGUAUUAGCAAGUCGGUCAGCACGAUAACCCGGCAGAGGGUUUUCAUCUUCAGGAGAGGUGUCUCUGCAGUAGAACCAAGUUUGAUUCCACUCUUUUGGGUGACUGUGAAGUUUGGCAUGAGGAAACUCAACCUCUUUCCUUUUUUGAAUUGAGACGCUGCCAAGUUCCGUAUUGGGUCCGUCUACAAACUCAGUGCGGCGGUUUAAAUGGAAGAAAUCCCGGAACAGCUCAACAGUUGAUUCUUCUUGAAGGUACGCUUCACAAAAGACUUGAAAGUUGCAUAUAUUGGAUACCGAGUGUUGGGGAACGUAGCAGAAAUUCAAAAUUUUCCUACGCGUCACCAAGAUCUAUCUAUGGAGAAACCAGCUACGAGUAUAAGGAGAGUGCAUCUACAUACCCUUGUAGAUCGCUAAGCGGAAGCGUUCAAGUGAACGGGGUUGAUGGAGUCGUACUCGUCGUGAUUCAAAUCACCGAUGAUCAAGUGCCGAACGGACGGCACCUCCGCGUUCAACACACGUACAGCCCGGUGACGUCUCCCACGCCUUGAUCCAGCAAGGAGAGAGGGAGAGGUUGAGGAAGACUCCAUCCAACAGCAGCACAACGGCGUGGUGGUGGUGGAGGAGCGUGGCAAUCCCGCAGGGCUUCGCCAAGCACCAUGGGAGAGGAGGAGGAGGGAGAGGGGCAGGGCUGCACCAACGAGAGAUCGAAUCGCGUGUUAUGGGCAGCCCCUAGGCCUCAUAUAUAUAGGGGAAGGGGAGGGCUGCGCCCCCUUUAGGGUUUCCCACCCCAAGGGGCGGCGGCCAGCCUCCAGAUGGCAUCUGGUGCGGCGGCCAAGAGGGGGGGAGGAGUCCAUCCUCCCCAAGGCACCUCGGAGGUGCCUUCCCCCUUGAGGACUCUUCCCUCUAGGGUUCCCUAGGCGCAUGGGCCUCUUGGGGCUGGUGCCCUUGGCCCAUGUAGGCCAAGGCGCACCCCCUACAGCCCAUGUGGCCCCUCGGGGCAGGUGGCCCCACCCGGUGGGCCCCCGGGACCCUUCCGGUGGUCCCGGUACAAUACCGAUGACCCCGAAACUUGUCCCGAUGGCCGAAACAGGACUUCCUACAUAUAAAUCUUUACCUCCGGACCAUUCCGGAACUCCUCGUGACGUCCGGGAUCUCAUCCGGGACUCCGAACAACAUUCGGUAACCACAUACAAGCUUCCUUUAUAACCCUAGCGUCAUCGAACCUUAAGUGUGUAGACCCUACGGGUUCGGGAGACAUGCAGACAUGACCGAGACGUUCUCCGGUCAAUAACCAACAGCGGGAUCUGGAUACCCAUGUUGGCUCCCACAUGUUCCACGAUGAUCUCAUCGGAUGAACCACGAUGUCAAGGACUCAAUCGAUCCCGUAUACAAUUCCCUUUGUCUAUCGGUAUGUUACUUGCCCGAGAUUCGAUCGUCGGUAUACCGAUACCUUGUCCAAUCUCGUUACCGGCAAGUCACUUUACUCGUUCCGUAACACAUCAUCCCGUGAUCAACUCCUUGGUCACAUUGCGCAUAUGAUGAUGUCCUACCGAGUGGGCCCAGAGAUACCUCUCCGUUUACACGGAGUGACAAAUCCCAGUCUCGAUCCGCAUAAAACAAUAGAUACUUUCGGAGAUGCCUGUAGUGCACCUUUAUAGUCACCCAGUUACGUUGUGACGUUUGAUACACCCAAAGCACUCCUACGGUAUCUAGGAGUUACACGAUCUCAUGGUCAAAGGAAGAGAUACUUGACAUUGGCAAAGCUCUAGCAAACGAACUACACGAUCUUUGUGCUAUGCUUAGGAUUGGGUCUUGUCCAUCACAUCAUUCUCCUAAUGAUGUGAUCCCGUUAUCAACGACAUCCAAUGUCCAUAGCCAGGAAACCAUGACUAUCUGUUGAUCACAACGAGCUAGUCAACUAGAGGCUCACUAGGGACAUAUUGUGGUCUAUGUAUUCACACGUGUAUUACGAUUUCCGGAUAAUAUAGUUAUAGCAUGAAUAAAAGACAAUUAUCAUGAACAAGGAAAUAUAAUAAUAAUACUUUUAUUAUUGCCUCUAGGGCAUAUUUCCAACAGUCUCCCACUUGCACUAGAGUCAAUAAUCUAGUUCACAUCGCCAUGUGAUUAACACUCACAGGUCACAUCGCCAUGUGACUAAUACCCAAGAGUUUACUAGAGUCAGUAGUCUAGUUCACAUCACUAUGUGAUUAACACUCAAUGAGUUUUAUGUUUGAUCAUGUUGCUUGUGAGAGAGGUUUUAGUCAACGGGUCUGAACCUUUCAGAUCCAUGUGUGCUUUACAAAUCUCUAUGUCAUCUCCUAGAUGCAGCUACCACGCUCUAUUUGGAGCUAUUCCAAACAACUGUUCUACUUGGAGCUAUUCUAAAUUAUUGCUCCAUUAUAUGUAUCCGAUCUCUCUACUCAGAGCUAUCCGGAUAGGUGUCAAGCUUGCAUCGUCGUAACCUUUACGACGAACUCUUUUACCACCUCCAUAAUCGAGAAAAUUCCUUAGUCCACUAGUUACUAAGGAUAACUUUGACCGCUGUCCUGUGAGCCAUUCUUGGAUCACUCUUGUACCCCUUGACUGACUCAUGGCAAGGCACACUUCAGGUGCGGUACACAGCAUAGCAUACUGAAGAGCCUACGUCUUAAGCAUAGGGGAUGACCUUCGUCCUUUCUCUCUAUUCUGCCGUGGUCGAGCUUUAAGUCUUAACUUCGUACCUUGCAACUCAGGCAAGAACUCCUUCUUUGACUGGUCCAUCUUGAACACCUUCAAGAUCAUGUCAAGGUAUGUGCUCAUUUGAAAGUAUUAUUAAGCAUUUUGAUCUAUCCUUAUAGAUCUUGAUGCUCAAUGUUCAAGUAGCUUAAUCCAGGCUUUCCAUUGAAAAACACUUUCAAAAUAACCCUAUAUGCUUUCUAGAAAUUCUACGUCAUUUCUGAUUCAACAAUAUGUCAACAACAUGUACUCAUCAGAAAUUCUAUAGUGCUCCCACUCACUUCUUUGGAAAUACAAGUUUCUCAUAAACUUUGUACAAACCCAAAAUCUUUGAUCAUCUCAUCAAAGUGUACAUUCCAACUCCGAGAUGCUUACUCCAGUCCUUAGAAGGAUCGCUGGAGCUUUGCAUACUUAUUAGCAUCUUUCAGGAUUGACAAAACCUUCCGGUUGUAUCACAUACAACCUUUCCUCAAGAAAAUCGUCGAGGAAACAAUGUUUUGACAUCCUAUCUGCAAGAUUUCAUAAAUAAUGCAGUAAUCGCUAAUAUAAUUCCAACAGACUCUUAGCAUCGCUACGAGUGAGAAAAUCUCAUCGUAGUCAACUCCUUGAACUUGUCGGAAAACAUCUUAACGACAAGUCGAGCUUUCUUAAUGGUGACAUUUACCAUCAUUGUCCGUCUUCCUUUUGAAAUCCAUCUGUACUCAUACAUGGAUCCUCUCUCGGAUUUUAUGGCCUCAAGCCAUUUAUCGGAAUCCGGGCCCACCAUCGCUUCUCCAUAGCUCGUAGGUUCAUUGUUGUCUAGCAACAUGACUUCCAAGACAGGAUUACCGUACCACUCUGAAGUAGUACGUAUCCUUGUCACCCUACGAGGUACGGCAGUGAUUUGAUCCGAAACCUCAUGAUCAAUAUCAUAAGCUUCCACUUCAAUUGGUGUAGGUGCCACGGGAACAACUUCCUGUGCCCUACUACACACUGGUUGAAGUGAUGGUUCAAUAACCAUAUCAAGUCUCCACCAUCCUCCCACUCAACUCUUUCGAGAGAAACCUUUCCUCGAGAAAGGACCCGAUUCAAGAAACAAUCCAUAUUGCUUUCGGAUCUGAAUUAGGAGGUAUACCCAACUGUUUUGGGUUUCCUAUGAAGAUGCAUUUUAUCCGCUUUGGGUUCGAGCUUAUCAACCUGAAACUUUUUCAUAUGAGCGUCGCAGCCCCAAACCUUUAAGAAACGACAACUUAGGUUUCUCUAAACCAUAAUUCAUACGGUGUCAUCUCAACGGAAUUACGUGGUGCCCUAUUUAAAGUGAAUGUGGUUGUCUCUAAUGCCUAACCCAUGAACGAUAGUGGUAAUUUGAUAAGAGACAUCAUGGUACGCACCAUAUCCAAUAGGGUGCAACUAUGAUGUUCGGACACACCAUCACAUUAUGGUGUUCCAGGCGGUAUUAAUUGCGAAACAAUUUCCACAAUGUCUUAAUUGUGUGCCAAAACUCGUAACUCAGAUAUUCAUCUCUAUGAUCAUAUCAUAGACAUUAUAUCCUCUUGUCACAAUGAUCUUCUACUUCACUCUGAAAUUACUUGAACCAUUCAAUAAUUCAGACUUGUGUUUCAUCAAGUAAAUAUUCUCAACAUCUACUCGAAUCAUCUGUGAAGUAAGAACAUAACUAUAUUCACUGCAUGCCUCAGCACUCAUUGGACUGCACACAUCAAAAUGUGUUGCUUCCAACAAGUUGCUAUCUUGUUCCAUUUUACUGAAACCGAGGCUUUUCAGUCAUCUUGCCUAUGUGGUAUGAUUUGCAUAUCUCAAGUGAUCCAAAAUCAAGUGAGUCCAAACGAUCCAUCUGCAUGGAGUUUCUUCAUGCGUAUAUACCAAUAGACAUGGUUCGCAUGUCUCAAACUUUUCAAAAACGAGUGAGUCCAAAGAUCCAUCAACAUGGAGCUUCUUCAUGCGUUUUAUACCAAUAUGACUUACAUGGCAGUGCCACAAGUAAGUGGUACUAUCAUUACUAUCUUAUAUCUUUUGGCAUGAAAAUGUGUAUCACUACGAUCGAGAUUCAAUAAACCAUUCAGGUUUAAUACUAAUCUUGAUGGUAGAGGGAGCGUGCGAUGUUUGAUCACAUCAAACUUGGAAACACUUCCAACACAUAUCGUCAGCUCACCUUUAGCUAGUCUCCGUUUAUUCCGUAGCUCUUUUAUUUCGAGUUACUAACACUUAGCAACCGAACCGGUAUCUCAUACCCUGGUGCUACUAGGAGUACUAGUAAAGUACAUAUUAACAUAAUGUAUAUCCAAUAUACUUCUAUCGACCUUGCCAGCCUUCUCAUCUACCAAGUAUCUAGGGUAAUCCCGCUCUAGUGACUAUUCCCCUUAUCACAGAAGCACUUAGUCUCGGGUUUGGGUUCAACCUUGGGUUUCUUCACUAGAGCAGCAGCUGAUUUGCCAUUUCAUGAAGUAUCCCUUCUUGCCCUUGCCCUUCUUGAAACUAGUGGUUUCACCAACCAUCAACAAUUGAUGCUCCUUCUUGAUUUCUACUUUUGCGGUGUCAAACAUCGCGAGUACCUCAAGGAUCACCAUAUCUAUCCCUGAUAUAUUAUAGUUCAUCACGAAGCUCUAGCAGCUUGGUGGCAAUGUCUUUGGAGAAACAUCACUAUCUCAUCUGGAAGAUCAACUCCCACUCGAUUCAAGUGAUUGUUGCACUCAGACAAUCUGAGCACAAGCUCAACAAUUGAGCUUUUCUCCCUUAGUUUGCAGGCUAAGAAAAUUGUCGGAGGUCUUAUACCUCUUGACGUGGGCACGAGCCUGAAAUCCUAAUUUCAGCCCUCGAAACAUCUCAUAUGUUCCGCGACAUUUCGAAAACGUCUUUGGUGCCUCUACUUAAACCAUUUAACUGAACUAUCACGUAGUUAUCAAAACGUGUAUGUCCGAUGUUCGCAACAUCCACAAACGAUGUUUGGGGUUCAGCACACUGAGCGGUGCAUUAAGGACAUAAGCUUUCUACUGUCCGCAUAAUCGCUACUGUCAACUUUCAACUAUAUUUUCUCUAGGAACAUAUCUAAACAGUGGAACUAAAGCGCGAGCUUACGACAUAAUUUGCAAAAAGGUCUUUUGACUAUGUUCAAGAUAAUUAAGUUCAUCUUAUGAACUCCCACUCAGAUAGACAUCCCUCUAGUCAUCUAAGUGAUUACAUGAUCCGAGUCAAAUAGGCCGUGUCCGAUCAUCACGUGAGACGGACUAGUCAUCAUCGGUGAACAUCUUCAUGUUGAUCGUAUCUACUAUACGACUCAUGCUCGACCUUUCGGUCUCCGUGUUCCGAGGCCAUGUCUGCACAUGCUAGGCUCGUCAAGUUAACCCUAAGUGUUUUCGCUGUGUAAAACUGUCUUACACCCGUUGUAUGUGAACGUAAGAAUCCAUCACACCCGAUCAUCACGUGGUGCUUAGAAGCGACGAACUGUAGCAACGGUGCACAGUUAGGGGAGAACACUUCUUGAAAUUUUGUAAGGGAUCAUCUUAUUUACUACCGUCGUCCUAAGUAAACAAGAUGCAUAAACAUGAUAAACAUCACAUGCAAUCAAAUAGUGACAUGAUAUGGCCAAUAUCAUUUUGCUCAUUUUGAUCUUCAUCUUCGGGGCUCCAUGAUCAUCAUCGUCACCGGCACGACACCAUGAUCUCCAUCAUCAUGAUCUCCAUCAUCGUGUCUUCAUGAAGUUGUCACGCCAACGACUACUUCUACUUCUAUGGCUAAUGCGUUUAGCAAUAAAGUAAAGUAAGUUACAUGGCGUUUUUCAAUGACACGCAGGUCAUACAAAAAUAAAGACAACUCCUAUGGCACCUGCCGGUUGUCAUACUCAUCGACAUGCAAGUCGUGAAUCCUAUUACAAGAACAUGAUCAAUCUCAUACAUCGCAUAUCAUUCAUCACAUUCUUCUUGGCCAUAUCACAUCACAUAGCAUACCCUGCAAAAACAAGUUAGACGUCCUCUAAUUGUUGUUGCAUGUUUUACGUGGCUGCUAUGGGUUUCUAGCAAGAACGUUUCUUACCUACGCAAGACCACAACGUGAUAUGCCAAUUGCUAUUUACCCUUCAUAAGGACCCUUUUCAUCGAAUCCGUUCCGACUAAAGUGGGAGAGACUGGCACCCGCUAGCCACCUUAUGCACCAAGUGCAUGUCAAUCGGUGGAACCUGUCUCACGUAAGAGUACGUGUAAGGUCGGUCCGGGCCGCUUCAUCCCACAAUACCGCCGAAACAAGAUUGGACUAGUAACGGUAAGCAUAUUGAACAACAUCAACGCCCACAACUACUUUGUGUUCUACUCGUGCAAAGAAUCUACGCAAUAGACCUAGCUCAUGAUGCCACUGUUGGGGAACGUAGCAGAAAUUCAAAAUUUUCCUACGCGUCACCAAGAUCUAUCUAUGGAGAAACCAGCUACGAGUAGAAGGAGAGUGCAUCUACAUACCCUUGUAGAUCGCUAAGCGGAAGCGUUCAAGUGAACGGGGUUGAUGGAGUCGUACUCGUCGUGAUUCAAAUCACCGAUGAUCAAGUGCCGAACGGACGGCACCUCCGCGUUCAACACACGUACAGCCCGGUGACGUCUCCCACGCCUUGAUCCAGCAAGGAGAGAGGGAGAGGUUGAGGAAGACUCCAUCCAACAGCAGCACAACGGCGUGGUGGUGGUGGAGGAGCGUGGCAAUCCCGCAGGGCUUCGCCAAGCACCAUGGGAGAGGAGGAGGAGGGAGAGGGGCAGGGCUGCACCAACGAGAGAUCGAAUCGCGUGUUAUGGGCAGCCCCUAGGCCUCAUAUAUAUAGGGGAAGGGGAGGGCUGCGCCCCCUUUAGGGUUUCCCACCCCAAGGGGCGGCGGCCAGCCUCCAGAUGGCAUCUGGUGCGGCGGCCAAGAGGGGGGGGAGGAGUCCAUCCUCCCCAAGGCACCUCGGAGGUGCCUUCCCCCUUGAGGACUCUUCCCUCUAGGGUUCCCUAGGCGCAUGGGCCUCUUGGGGCUGGUGCCCUUGGCCCAUGUAGGCCAAGGCGCACCCCCUACAGCCCAUGUGGCCCCCCGGGGCAGGUGGCCCCACCCGGUGGGCCCCCGGGACCCUUCCGGUGGUCCCGGUACAAUACCGAUGACCCCGAAACUUGUCCCGAUGGCCGAAACAGGACUUCCUAUAUAUAAAUCUUUACCUCCGGACCAUUCCGGAACUCCUCGUGACGUCCGGGAUCUCAUCCGGGACUCCGAACAACAUUCGGUAACCACAUACAAGCUUCCUUUAUAACCCUAGCGUCAUCGAACCUUAAGUGUGUAGACCCUACGGGUUCGGGAGACAUGCAGACAUGACCGAGACGUUCUCCGGUCAAUAACCAACAGCGGGAUCUGGAUACCCAUGUUGGCUCCCACAUGUUCCACGAUGAUCUUAUCGGAUGAACCACGAUGUCAAGGACUCAAUCGAUCCCGUAUACAAUUCCCUUUGUCUAUCGGUAUGUUACUUGCCCGAGAUUCGAUCGUCGGUAUACCGAUACCUUGUUCAAUCUCGUUACCGGCAAGUCACUUUACUCGUUCCGUAACACAUCAUCCCGUGAUCAACUCCUUGGUCACAUUGCGCAUAUGAUGAUGUCCUACCGAGUGGGCCCAUAGAUACCUCUCCGUUUACACGGAGUGACAGAUCCCAGUCUCGAUCCGCAUAAAACAAUAGAUACUUUCGGAGAUGCCUGUAGUGCACCUUUAUAGUCACCCAGUUACGUUGUGACGUUUGAUACACCCAAAGCACUCCUACGGUAUCCAGGAGUUACACGAUCUCAUGGUCAAAGGAAGAGAUACUUGACAUUGGCAAAGCUCUAGCAAACGAACUACAUGAUCUUUGUGCUAUGCUUAGGAUUGGGUCUUGUCCAUCACAUCAUUCUCCUAAUGAUGUGAUCCCGUUAUCAACGACAUCCAAUGUCCAUAGCCAGGAAACCAUGACUAUCUGUUGAUCACAACGAGCUAGUCCACUAGAGGCUCACUAGGGACAUAUUGUGGUCUAUGUAUUCACACGUGUAUUACGAUUUCCGGAUAAUACAGUUAUAGCAUGAAUAAAAGACAAUUAUCAUGAACAAGGAAAUAUAAUAAUAAUACUUUUAUUAUUGCCUCUAGGGCAUAUUUCCAACACCGAGUUGGGUCCAAUAUCUUGAGGAUGGAGCUGAAAGCUAGCAAGUACAUCUCGAAAAAACUUUGAUCUGGGCGGUUUAAAGCCAUGGCCUAUAUGAUCAACAAACACCACCACUUCAUUCUGUUUGGGGCAGGAGGAUUUUCCGACCCAGGAACUCGCCACCGGAUCUCAUUCUUCUUUGGUAAGGUGCCGAUCUUAACCAUUCCGUUCAGUUGCUCCUCAGUAACCCGGGAAGGGACCCAGUUGCAGGAAUAAAACUGCUUGGCCAUUGCAAGUGAAAAGCUGGGAAGAAAAUAAUGCCGGUUUACGAUUCAUUCAUGGUGAUGCAUAAGGUACAAUAGGGAAAAGGAAUCCAAGUAUGUGAAAUUGAUAACCAGAGGCUGAUGCAAUUAUGAAUGAAAAAGCGAUAAGCAGAAACAGAGGUAUACACAUAUUAUUAAACCGGAGUAUGACAACGGAGAUAAAGGGAUUGGCGGUUCACAAGGGGACUAAUGGUACCUGCCGGAUUAUCAUAUUUCAAAAAGAUAAACCGCCUAUGCAGAUAAGGAAGAUACAGAUCUAAGGCAGGAAUGACUAAGUAAGGAAAAACAGGUUUCCCAAGAUUGCAUUGAAAUUUUGGAUCUACCGUAAGUCAGGAAAAGAAAAAAUUUGAGACUUAAAAAGUUUGGUCCCGAAGCAGUUCACAAAAGGUCCAGAUCAAGUUAUUAUGUAUUAAAGGUUUGGUUUAAAUGGCCGAGAUAAGGAGUGCCAUAGCUACUGUGCGGAACACGUCAAGAUCAAGCUCCGCUAUCUAUGGACUAACGAAGAACACGAGGAGAGCGACAUGAACCCGCAUGAACCCUAAUGGAUCUACAAAGGAAAUAAGGAAAGGCUUACAACAUCUGUUGAGGUAGUAGAGGUGCGCCAUGUUUCUCUGAUACGACCAGGUCGAUGCAGCGGCCGACGGUGAUGCAGAGGCGAAGCUCGACGACGGCGGUGGCGCUCGGGUGCAGGGGUGUCGCGAGGAGGAAGAAGAAGCGAGGAGGUCAAGGGGGAAAAAGAAAAUGACCCUUGGCCCUAUUUAUAAGGUAAAUGGAGAGGUGACAGGCGCGAGAAUCAAGGAGCCCAAAAAUUGGAUAUAUAACGGAGCGGUCGCCUCGAUUGUCGGAGGCUCAUUAACUGAAGGUGAGAUGUAUAAUUUUUAAAUAACAAGUGACGUCAUCGCGAUUUAUCAUGAUCCUGGAGGAUGACGUCAUGGCGGUUUACAAGAUCAAGGUGAAGAUGCAAAGGAGGAAUUUUUCUAAGUGUUGAAGAUUGACAUGAACAAGUUCAAAUCAAUCUGGGGCCUAAUAUUGGGGAUAUUACCACCGGGCAUAAACCGGCUAGGAGAGGCCAGAUUAUCCCCAUGAUGGUUGCUUUAUUCAAAAGCCCAUGAAGACGUGAGGAUGGUGGUGCUUUAUGAAGGCCCAAGGCCCAAAGGCGAGUUAAGGCAUGUAGAUGUAAACCGACUUUCUCAUGUAACUUGCAUUGUAAGAUAGGAAGGAUAGAGACCGGGUUGAUACGUUGACGAUCCGGCCUCGGGACUCUGUAAACCGACGGGCGUCGACCUAUGUAUAUAAAGGGACGACCCGGUGGCGGUUUAGGAACAACUCACAACAACAAGUCGAGAGCCGGGUAAAGCGGAUUCGCUCCCUGGUCAUAGAAACCCCAGCAAUUCCAUCACAACUAGACGUAGGCUUUUACCUUCAUCGUAAGGGGACGAACUAGUAUAAAACUCUCGUGUCCCUUGUCCGGUUUAACCCCUUUAAGCUAACCCGUAGCGAUGGCUUCAUGACUAAGUCCUUUCACGAGAACAUCUGCCAUGACAAAACCACGACAAUCACCCUUUGGUAGAUUACCGAGACAAAGAUGGCAAGGGCGAUAUCAUCGGCGAGGCGCAAGCAUCAUCAGUGAGAAGUUAGAUAAAUCGAUGAGUCAUGUGCAUGCAUACAAGCUGAGCUAGUCAACAUCAUGCCAAGUGUUCAUAUCCAAGUGCAUGUCGGUCUAUGGUUCCAUUGCAGUUGAAGUUAGAUAAAUUUCAAAGUCGUCGUUUGCUAGUUUGCCAUGUUUGAGAGUCGAAGAUUGAACAGGUUUUCCUACUACAAUUUUGUGUCUGAUCUUACGUGCAAAUCCAGCGGCUAGUGGACUUCUCAGUCAUAUGCAUGUCAGGCUGGAUUCAACUUCGUCUGUGGACCAUGCAAAAAUAUGCCGUGUGCAUAACACUUCUCUCUCUCUCUCUCUCUCUCUCUCUCUCUCUCUCUCUCUCUCUCUCUCUCUCUCUCUCUCUCUCUCUCUGUUAUAAGCACAACAGGGGCUGAAGUUUGAUGCCAACUGGGAAGAAGCAAGGAAACGAUGGCACCAUUUGUAUCCUUGGUUAAAGUUGUGUGUUCGCAUCAUAGCAUGCGUUUCAUGAUAUGUUGUUGCAACCGAUUGGUGGGAGAAGCCAACAAGGAAUCGAUCUAGCUUGUUAUGAACCUUUUGGAUUUAGAGGCAUCAGGAAUGAAGCUCAAACUUCCCGCCUCUUUACCACUGCUGCUGCUAGAGUCCAGAUAGGGGUCUCGGAAGUGCUCCUAUGCAUAUGCAUCGAUGUGCCAGACCGGUGGGCUACAAUUGCUUGUGUUGCGCAACUCUCCCUCGAGAUGCACAGACUCCUCUGCCCGAGAAGAACGGCAACGCCUUCCUUCUGCGCUCGUGUAACAACGCUUUGUUGAAUGGAGUUCCGACUAUGCUCUACAAGAACAGAUUGCGCUUGCUCCAUUGUAUGAGAAGUUAAAUACUGUGUACACAGCAAUAGUAAAACUUGUAUACAUCAGACUUGAACGAGUAGCAACUAUUAUCUCUGCUACCCACCAAUAUUAGCGUCUUUUUACCACCACCCUGUCUUUUUUUGUUUCUCUUUGCAUGUUUGGGAUUUUGAUCAUAAUUUUUAGGGAUUGUAGACACAUAUUUGAUGGAACAUUCACACACAAAAACUGACACAUCUAAAAUUGAAUUUUUCAAAUUGGUAUCACGGGAGCACUUAAGAGAUGGUAUUCUCCUCUCUGAUUACUCCAGUGGUUUGCCACCCAAUCAAAUGAAAGAUUAAAUGUUUGGGCGCAGUCACACGCAAGUCCUACCCCAGUCACCAAAUAUCCAUGAUAAUGCACAUAAUAUGGUAGAGGACAUAAACAAAAGCAUGAUUGCAACCCACAGUAAAAGCAUUAAUAAUGACUCAUAAACCUCUAGAGGAAAUGUGAGAUUUGAUCCAAACAUAUCUGGUUCUGAAUACAAAAAACGCAUGCAUAUUCAUCAUCUGCUUCCUAAUGUGAAGCAAGUUUAUCCUUCCAACACAAUGUAUUAUCAAGGAGCUCACUCAACCUAUUUCAUCCUUCUAACGAGCUAGUUGAUGUAGUUCUCACGGUUGCCAGCAUCACCACCCUCGACAUAGUGGUUCCUCUUCUUCUUCAGGCCACUGAGCGGUGCCUUCAGCUUGAAUGGCCACAAGAAGUUGUUCGCCUCCUUGAAAUGUGGGCCGACAGUCAAGAUCUCGUGCACAAGGUUCUCGGUGUAGAAGAUGUUGUGCUUCCCCACACCCUGUGGAGAACAUAGAAAUGAUGAUCAACUUGAUAUGGCUCCCAUCAAGGGUCAUUUUUGUCUUCAUCAUGUCACAGGCAAGGUGCUCGCCACCGCCUACCAAAGCUGCUGGACUAUAGUUAAUUCAUCGCUACUACACCUCAUGGGCGCAUCGACGUCUGUGCAUCUAGAGUUUACAUUUUUCUUGUGACAUCAGAGUUAAGUUUUGACUCGUGGCCAAGAGCAACGCCGCAAAUCUUGACAUUAAUUAUGCAGUCACUACUUCAUGAUACAUGAAUCUAAUUCUGCCACUCUAGCUGAGUGGGCAUGUGCAUAAGGUCGAGAUGGUCGAACUUUAUCUACAUAUAACUUGGAAUAAUAAGUGGUGCACAAACAGCAUGUGUGUGAAUACUCUGAGAAUCACACAGUUUUGUUGUUUCGGUGUUUCUUUGAACUUGCAUACCCAUGAAGUUCUCCUCUUCGAAGCGACUAAGUUGAUGUGGAGUAGCUGGGGCCGGAAUAUUUUAUAAGUAAUUCCAUGUCCAAUGAUGAAAUAAAUUGGUUGUCCCCUGCUUAUCUCAUGUGCCUGGUUAAAUAUAUUUCAUGUUCAUAGGCAUGCAUACAUAAGGUUGUGCAUUCAUGUGUGUUGGUGAAAUUUUUGUGUGACCGUUCCAGCACCAGAUCAAGGUUUCAAAUUUUGAAUCCAUGCUUGCAGCAGAGAGGCUACCCCUAGCAUCUCAAGGCGAUCGGUCGCCCUUUGGUAGAUUACCGAGACAAAGAUGGCAAGUACGAUAUUAUCGGUGAGGCGCAAGCAUCAUCAAUGGUAAGUUGGAUAAAUCAAUGAGUCAUGUGCAUGUAUACUAGCGGAUUUAGUCAACAUCAUGCCAAGUGUUCAUAUUGUGCGGUGCCACAGUCGAACCACUGUAUAGUGAGGUAUAUUACUCUGAGCGAAAACAUGUGUGGAGAAAAGAUGGCAUGUGGCUGUCUACGUGUCUCGCCGAGAUAUCAAGCUCGAGCAUGUAGUGAAAUGGUAAUCAAUAAUGGUGAGUAUGUCGAAUAAGGCCAUAUCUCUAGUGAGCAUGUGUGGUCAUCAGCAUGUAUGUAACUGAGCCUGUGUAGUCAUCAGCAUGUAUUAGAUCGCUGAUGGCGUGCGUUGAUGCGUCCGUCUAUUUUGGCUUGUAGUUGUUAGGUAUAUAAAAUAAUUUGAAUACAUUUAUUUGAAAGAAUUAGGACGAUUUGGAUACAUGUUUCAUGAUUGAUCACAGACAUAUUUUUGGCUCCUAAAAUAUCUCUCACAAAUACUGAAGAAAGACAUUACAAAUAUUAAAAAAAUAAACAUAAAAAUAGGCUGUGCAAAUAUUUAAAACUUUUGGACAACAUUUAUUAUUUAAAAAAUCAAUGCCUUCAUGUAGUAUUACAUUGUAGUCUAUCAGACAAAGAUUCCAAAAGGGAUAUUAUAAACGAGCAUACCGCCAUCGCAUGCUCUGGAUAUCAUCCUGGUAUUCACUCGGAAAGCUCAAGAGCGAAGUUUUACGAGGACGCCUCAAAGGAGGGAAAUAACGCUCAGCAGGCACAUGACCGUAGUAGAGAGUCAAAGCAUUCGCCUGGAACACAAUCACUCCGACCUAGAUAGGGCUUGCAGAUCUAGAGCAUCAAGAGCGUGCAUAUCGCCGAGCCAUGCCCAUUGUCUCCGUCGCCGACCACCAAUCACAAUCAUGUAGUGAUCCUCUGUAGCACCUGAAUCCAUGAGAGACCCGAAUAUGCAUGAUAAACUAUAGAGAAAGUUAAAAUAAACUGAAUAAUUGUUUCAGGGAAGUUUUCCUUCCAUGUUGAAAUAAGAUAUGAUCCAAUCGAUGGCAAGAAGCAAACCACGAGAGAAAGAUAAUAAGCAGGAAUUAUCGCUACUGUAACUACUAUUUUAGUUUCUUUCAAUUUUGUGUGUGCAUUUGUAGCUUGCUUUGAUUUAUAGCCGCCACUGGACUAUGAACAUAGGCACAUCACCUAGCCUUCCCUGAGUGGAUAAAUGGCAGUAACCUGACAUAUGUAUGCAGGAAACACAAGAAUUGUAAAUUAAAGUGAAGAAACACCAUUGUAAGGAUUAAAUUAGCUAGAGAAACUGGGUGGGAAGCUAUGCGUUGGCAUAGUACAAUACUUCAUGACAACUCACUACUUUAUAACAAGAAUCAUGUAUGUAUGUAACUCUAAUCAACUUUCAUAGAAGUAAUACCAAACAUAUAUAUGGAAAUAAUUUGACUUCGAUGUCAAACUACUCUAACAACACAAUAUAGCCUUCUAAGUAGCCAGGAGAUUCUCUACCACUGUUAAUAUAAGCUCAGAUUUAUUGUACAAAAACGUAGUCAAACAUGUAACUAUAACACGCUCGGGGAAAUUAAUGCUAUAGUUCUACUCCCUCCGUCCGAAUUUAUUAGGCCCAUUGACCAAAACACUGCGACCAAGGCACCCUUACGUAAAGAUGAGAUGUCGAUAACUGCGUCCAGUAACAUUCACGCGUUCGGUUCCACUUUCUAUGUUAUUUAAUGCUAGUAAUCAAGGCCGCCAGCUAUGUGUGCUAAUCGUGGCUGCAUGCCCAAUCCGAUGGAAAAGCCAACGCAUGCACCGGCUGUUGCAUGUAAGACUAGUCAGACUAGCCAUAAUGAGAAUAACUUAAGUAGUAACAUCGAGUCCAACUUAGCAAAUUUGCUUAUGUGGCAAUGAGUUAAUGAGGAGAGAGGUAGUUACAGUAACUUAGCUAGUUACUGUAACAUCACAUGUCCCAAUGCAAUAUAAGUCUAUAACCUAAUAAAUAAACAUUUGCAUGACACUACACUUAUGUUAGAGCAUGGUUAAUAGUAUAGCCAAAUGCUGGCUAUAAGCCAUUGCCAUGUCAUCUAUAGCCCAUCUUAUAGCCAAUAUGUACAAUAGUUGAUUAGAAGAGUGUACUACUUUUUUAUUAUAUGGCCCACCUUUCACUCUCACAAAGUGCCUAGGAGCACGUGCUAGAGCUGGCUCUUCACCAAGAGCCCGCUUCCCUUCUCUCUCUUCUUCUCUUUCCUCCAACUAAGCAAGAAUAUACUAGUUUAUUUCUUAUAGCCAGCUGACUCAGCUCUAUUGUACUUGCUCUUACUACCCACUAGCUAUGAAGAUAGUAACAUAGUCUAGGAAUAUGUGUAUGUUACUAGCAUAUGUUCCUCUUCAUUAUGGCUAGUCAUAGUGGGAGUAAUUUAGCUAGUAACAUAACGUACUUCGAGAAAAUUCUGCUUAUGUGAUAAGUAAUUAAUGAGAGGUGGUAACAUAAUAUGUUACUGUAACAUAGCGCUUUCCAAGACAAGAUGAGUCUAUGAGCUAAUAGAUAAAGUCAUCUAUGAUAGUACUAUUAUGUUACUUUGCAUUAUGAAGGUAGUAACUUAGACUAGUGUCAUAUGCAUGACACUAGUCACAUGAUACUAGUCUAAGUUACUCCCCACUAUGACCAGCCUAACACCUCCUAGUUUUACUCCAACGGUGAAAUUAAAUAGGAAAGAAAAGUUGCAUGUUUUCUUGAGACAAUCUCACGAAGCUUUUAUUUAACUCGUCACAAUGUUUACAGGGAUGAAGGAUAGAUCACCUGGGUUGCCUAACCACACACGGCAGCUAACACCAAGUGAGAGAGCAUGCUUCGCUAAAUUGUGAUCCUCGACAUUCGAGCUCCUAAACUCAUGGCUAAAAAAACAAGAAACAAAAUGCUUAGAUCGAUCUACAAUCUUCCUAAUGAUAGCACCAUAUGCCGAUGCACUCCUUUGCCCAAUCUCAUCAACAACCACUGCAUGUAAUGCCUCGUGCUCGGUACGGGCCUUACAUUAAGGGACGCACACUUGAUGCUCAUGGGCCCAAUAAACCCGGACGGAGGGGGUAUAUGAAGAUGUGCAUCUAGAUAUACAACCGAUGAACAAUACUGAAAACUAUAAAUCUUGAAUCUUUCCUUUUUCAUCACAACAUGUCCAUAUCGAGUUGUAGGAGCUUUCUCCAUGAAUAAAUCGUUUCUUGUUACUAACCCCGGAAUACACUGCUUACGGUACAAAAAUAGCUUCAUUUUCAUGUUUUGUCACUUGGUAGGCAUAAAUCAUGGGAGUCAUAUCCGGUAAAUUAAUAUAAGAAUGUCUUCACAUGUUAUUUUUUACCAAGCUUCUCGGGGAUGAACCUGCAGCAAUCAAGAUAACUAAUGAACAGUUUUAAGUUUCAUUUUCUCCCAGGACCAUCACUGUGUUAUUCCAACACAACUGACCUCGCAUUGUAUGCUUGGCUGCUGUUUUUCCAUUUGGUUUAGUGCUACCCUACCCAGAUAUAAAUAACCCCAAAUUGUAUUAAACUGGAGAGUUAAAUAGAAAGCGGUAGAGGGGACGGUGUAACCUGGAAGGUUAGGAGAAUAAUUUUCAGAUGUGAAACAGUCCCCUGUGUCCAAUGUAUAAAUCCCAUAGAAAUUCUGAAACAACCAGAACACAUAUCAAACAUUUGGCAGCCGCUAACAAUAAUAAUCUUUGGAUGGAUAAUUAUAAAACAAAGAGAGCGAUAAUUAUAAUUCUUCAAGAUGUGCUAAUCUUCUAGCUUGUGUUCCUUUAAAUCUGAACCAUAGGCAGCACAAGAUGAAGGUUAAAAUAAAGAUGGGGACCUGCAGCGAGCUAGGUGAGUGCUCCUCCUUGUCCUCCUGCAAUAACUCCUCCUCACAUGUGCAGGGGAAGGCAUGACGGUGUGGUUGUAGGGCGGAAGGGCAGCAGCCAUAUUUGACAAUCAAAACUACAGAAAUUCUAGGUCAUUUAUAUUAAUCAUGUAGUUAUUUUUUUGUACUUUAGAGUUUGAUCAAAUUGACUAACAAGCCUCUUAUCUGAAUGUGCCCUCCUCUUUUUUGUAAGGAACAAAGAAUCCUAGCCAGAACAAACUGACACUGCAAAAAAAGGUUAUCAUGUGUACAUGGGUGGUGACCUGAACAGUUGUGUACCAAUUUUCAGGUUUACAAUGAGCUAAUUUUUGUGUAGUAACUACAGUGGCCAUUGAAGAUAUUACUUAUAUUGUUUGAGUUGCGGUUUGCUAGGUGUCUAGGGAUCACACGGCAGUGUUGCGAAAUUUAGAUUGAAAUAAUUGUUGAUGGAGUGCACUGAUGAGAUGAACUGAACUACUUAUGUCUCAGUUUUAGUGGAGUACUUAUGAAUUGAAUGUGACACUAUCCUAGCUUUCAUUUUCUAAUAGACAAAAAUAAAACAAUUAUAUGUCUCUCCACUGAACGAACGAUUGAAGUACACCCCCGAUACCGACACGAUCUGCCAGCCAAGUGACCUGAGAAUAGAUUCAGUUGACCACCAAGAAGGAGCCAAGGGAAAAAUUAGCCAACCAAUUAACCAGGUGACCAAGUAAAUGAUGCAUUGGGGGAAAUGAGAGCGUACGUACAACUUCGGGGCCAUGGCGCGACAUCUAGCUACAGUAAUCCGUGGGGUUCCUCACCAAGUUCUGCCACCCAUCCAUCAUAUAGAGCAUCAAACCAAGCAAACAAAUAGGAUCUGUUUGGUGCACAGGAUAAGCUCAGAGGAGCAUGAUGCAAGAAUGAAGGGAGAAGGAAGACUGGUUCGCCGAGUGUACCUAGCCUUCCUCGGAGUGCCAAUGGAGGGGGAUGGCGACGCCAAGGAUGUAGUCGACCAUGGAAGUGUCGUCGGGGCGGGCGUGGAGGAGGGUUGAGCCGUACGCGCAGCAGAACUCCACCGGCGUAUUUUUGCCGUCUGCUGCGUUGCGGUCUCCAGGCAACCGUUGUUUGCUGCAUUGGGAUCAGAGGCAGAGACCGGAAAAAAAUUAAGGUGGAGCAAAGAUUAUUCUUUUAUACAAAUCGAAAGAUUCGAUACACACUACGAACGAAUAACCAAAUACAAUGAAAAUGUAGACAUGUUUUAAUCGUUUUGCUAUAUCUCAUGUGCCUAGAGUUUUGGUGAGUUUGACUGGUUGAGGGAAAUUUUAUUCGCGUCAGCCGUUUUUUCUAGUUCAUCCGAGCUCGGCGGAGAAGGGGCAGCCCCAAUAUCUAUCUUAGAGGGAAGUCAUUGCCCAACUAUCUAUCUUAGGAGCAAGCCAUUACCCUAUUAUCUAUCUUUAGGUGUGGUGUGCAAGGGAAUACACCAGAGUUCUUCAUUGGUGCGGCAUGACUUAGAGGGAUGGCUGAGGAGGCGGCCAGNNNNNNNNNNNNNNNNNNNNNNNNNNNNNNNNNNNNNNNNNNNNNNNNNNNNNNNNNNNNNNNNNNNNNNNNNNNNNNNNNNNNNNNNNNNNNNNNNNNNNNNNNNNNNNNNNNNNNNNNNNNNNNNNNNNNNNNNNNNNNNNNNNNNNNNNNNNNNNNNNNNNNNNNNNNNNNNNNNNNNNNNNNNNNNNNNNNNNNNNNNNNNNNNNNNGGAGUCGUGAGGAGGAACAAGAAGAGAGGAAGAAAAUGAACAAUGCAUGAUCUAUUUUGGACGGUUGGAUGAAGAUCUGAUGGUCCAUAUAAAAAGUGAUGCAAUAUUUCUUCAGGUAGCUGAGAGGCUCCAUGUUUCAAUUGGAAAACAACCUAAAACAUAGGGAAAAUCUUGCCUUCAGCCGGCGGAUCGCACUCGGGCAUCCUCCGCCUUGUCCGUGUGACGCGUGUCCUGCGUGGCUCACCUAGCUUUAUCUUUUAUGGUUUUGCAAAUGAGCCCUUGUCGCAGUUUUCCCAACGCAACAACACGUAUAUUACAGGAUCUGGAUCUGGAUCCCUCGAGCGCAGUUUCCUCCCGUGUUCCUCCCAAGCUCCUGUUCUUCCUCUAAUUUGUGCAACACCAUUUAUGUUGCAAAAGUCUUUCUGCAACAUCAUUCAUGUUGCAAAAAACUAAAGACGAAAAAAUUGUAACACUUGAAUGUUUCUGCAACAUGAACUCUAUUGCAAAGAGGGUUCUGCAACACUGACUUUGUUGCAAUAAUGAGGGCGGAGUUAACUGUUGGUUUGGACCAGAUCUAACUGCUGCUAAGUGGGUAGCUGUUUUCAGAUUAUCUGUCGGCGGACGUGUAACACUACCCUAAAACAUAUCGAUAAAUAUAAUGAAGCUUUCAAUGGCCAGCCGCCGCCAACGCGUUACAGCUUAGGGUCUGUUUUGUGCCUAGAGUGGUCGCAUAUGAUGUUCGUGUGUGUCUUUGCUUCGUGCAUGGGCGCUUGAUCGAACCUGACCACUCGACGUCUCGACUCUGGACUGGUUCCUGGUCCAACACAUUCGGCCCAUCAAGCCAGCGGCCAGCCUCUUUCCGUUUGUAGCAUUUUCUGCCAGAUGAGAGAUAGCUGGGCCGAUCGCUGCAUAGGUAUAGAUUUUUUUUUUUGCUCAAAAUUAAGGUAUGGCAGCCGCCAUGCCCUGCCCAUUGGAGCGUGCCUAGGUUUUCUCGAUAGGACCUGCAUCGGGAUCCUGUCGAUCGCUGGAUCCUCGAAGCGCGUCACCUUGGGUUGAGGCUGUAUGCCUUGCCUCGCGUCGAUCCCCUCCGGCGCCGGAUCACUGGCAAGCUUCGCCUCGGAUUGAUCCCCACCGGCGCCGAAAUCCCUCCGAGGCUCGCGUAGGCUGGAUGAAGAUGAGCACAUGCUUUGUCGCUCCUCCGAUGGAUCUUUUGAAGCCCACACACGGUAGAAUGGGUUGGCCAACGGCGCAGUGCACUAGAGGCCUCCAUUUCGGCCUCUGAAGCAGCAGCCCACGGUUGGUCCUAACUACACACAGUGCACGAUUUUCAGACGAAAUCUGACGGGUAGCCGAAAACCCAAAUCGUUGUAAGGACUCCCAGAUCAUUAAACAGACGGACUAAUUAAAACCCAAAUCGCUGUAAGGACAUGGAUUAGGUGUGGUUAUACUCUCCUUAAUGUAACCGGGGAGCUAGCGUAGUCAGGUUGUCCCGAUCAAUGAGUCGCAUUGACAAGUCAUGGAUCUUAAACAAGUCAAGAUUCAAGUGAGUACAAGAGACGACAAGUAAUAAAGAUUGUUGGAAAUACUCUUGCCCUAAUAAAGCCCGUUUUGAGGUCGUUGUUUGCUAGCUUGCCAUGUUUGAGAGUCGGAGAUUGAACGGGUUUUGCUACUACUACUGUAAAUGUAUACGGUGUUUGGCUUGGUCCAUUAUCAUGACGAAGUUAGUUGCGGUAGGUGUAGGUUUAAGUCCUUUGACUAGUCAUGUUGCUGUCCUGUUGAGAGUUGUUGUAGGCUUAGGUUCAACUCCGUCGACUAGUCAUGUUGUUGUCCCGUUGAGUCUGGUCCCUAGGUGUGUGUGUGUGUGUGUGUAUAAGCACACUAGGGGCUGAGGUUUUGUAGCAAUGGUGAAGUUGUACCAAAGAUGCGGGAAGAAAUAAGGAAACAGAUGGCACGAUAUGUACCAUUGGUUAAAGUUGUGUGUUCGCAUCAUAGCCUGUGUUUCAUGAAAUUUCGAUGCAACCGAUCGGUGGGAGAAAUUUAACAAGCAAUCCAGCUUGUUAUGAACCUUUCGGAUUUGGAGGCAUCAGGAAUGAGGCUUGAACAGCAGGUCUCUUUAACACUGCUACAAUGCCAGAAACGGGUCUCGCAAGAGCCAUCCUGGUCGCUGAGCUCCUCUUCCCAUGCAUCGAUGGGCCAGACCGGUGGGCGACAAUUGUUUGCGCUGCACAACCCGCACUCGAGAUGAGAGUCCUCUGCCCGAGAAGAACAGCAACAACUUUCUUCUGCGCCUGUGGAGCAGGGCUUUCUUGAAUGGAGUUCUGGCUCUGCUCUAAGAACAGCAAGGAAUCACUUUUGCGCUUGUAUACACACUAACAUUAGUACAACUGACUAACAAAUUAGGAGAAGGAUUGCCUCUAGGAUAAAGAGGAAAUUAGCGCCAAAGACUGGAAGUUGAAAGUGAUACUCCCUCCUCAAAAUAUACUUGCGCGGUCUCUCAUGCGCAACUCGACCGUUAAUACAUAAUCCCUCCACUGAACGAACGAUUGAAAAAUUAAGGAAUGCGCAUGAAGGAAAAAUUUCAUAAAUUUUGGGCAAGAUUACACCUGACUAAUUGACAUAAAAAAUGAAAGAGGUUGCCUCAAAUCCCUAAAAAAGAUCCAAAAGAGUGUUUACACAAUACACCUUCUAUUUUGAAAAAUAAAUUCUCAAAAAUCUAUACACCUUAUAUCAAGGAAAUGCACGCAUUGAACAUGUACAACUGAUAACAUCCUUGUAGAACAGCACAUCCGCUUUGUUUCAUGUAUAUUUAUACUAAUUUAGUGGACAUACAAUAAGUGAAAACCACAGUUGAAGUUGUGCGAUUAAAACAAGAAAAGUCAAAGCACACCUUAUAUCUUGGGAAGGAGGCAGUACAAGAUUUGCAUGCCUAAUAUCCCAAAUAUGGCAAGGAACUUGGCCAAUAUAAGACCAAAUAAAAUAGUAGAGGACAGAAACCAAAAGCAUUUUUGAGACCCACAGUAAAAACAAGCUAAAAAAACUCAGUACUUCUAGGGGAAAUGUGAGAUUUCAUCCAAACAUGUCUAGUUCUCAAUACAAAAAACGCAUGCAUAUUCAUCAUCCGCUUCCUAAUGUGAAACAAGUUUAUCCUUCCAACACAGGGUAUUAUCAAGGAGCUCCUUCAACCUAGUUCAUCCUUCUAACAAGCUGGUUGAUGUAGUUCUCACGGUUACCAGCGUCACCACCCUCAACGUAGUGGUUCCUCUUCUUCUUCAGGCCACCGAGUGGUGCCUUAAGCUUGAA
rnacentral:lncRNA from 1 species